AACCACAUACCGAGGGUGGGAGAUUUUAACGAGAGCACGUAUUACAUGGAAGGAGACACUGGACAUCCUGUGUUUGAGACGGUGUUUGGGAAAAUUGCAGUCAAUAUAUGUUAUGGAAGACACCAUCCUCUAAACUGGUUAGCUUUUGGUCUAAAUGGUGCUGAGAUUGUCUUCAACCCUUCAGCUACUGUUGGUGAACUCAGUGAACCAAUGUGGCCUAUUGAGGUUUAACUCCUAACUCCCCAUUUUUCACACAUAGCCGGUCCUGAAAUUUAUGAGGUUUAAAAAUAAUUUAUCAAACAAAUAUUUUAAAUUACUUAAGAGCUAAAUGAUAUAAUACAUAUUAGCCACUAAUAUUUUGGGACCAUAUGCAAAUGUUACAUCUAGCUAUGCUCAGGACCAGUUAUGUUUUACUUCUCUAUCUAUAAACAACAUGGUCUGAUGUUUCAUUUGAAAACCUCAGGCAAGGAAUGCUGCAAUAGCAAACAGUUACUUUGUGGGAUCCAUUAACCGAGUUGGAACCGAAGUGUUCCCCAAUGCUUUCACCUCAGGGGAUGGGAAACCGCAACACAAUGACUUUGGUCAUUUCUAUGGAUCAAGCCAUUUCUCUGCCCCGGAUGCUUCUUGCACACCGUCUUUGUCACGUUACAGAGACGGGUUAUUGAUCUCGGACAUGGAUCUCAAUCUGUGCCGGCAGUACAAAGACAAAUGGGGGUUUAGAAUGACUGCAAGAUAUGAAGUCUAUGCAGAUCUUUUGGCUAAGUACUUAAAGCCAGACUUCAAGCCUCAAAUUGUCUCUGACCCAAUGCUCCACAAGAGUUCUUCAUAACAACUAGACUUAGUCAUGGUAAAUGGAAUAAGCUCCGAGAAAGUAGGAGCCGAGCUAGUUUGAAUGUUUCUAUGCUUGUUGAAAGUCCUCUGAACAUGUAGGAGGCAGUUGUUUCUGUAAUCAGCUAUCGAAUGUCACUCAAGAAAUAAAAACAAUGCAGCUUUUAGUCUCAUCAUUUAACUUUUAGUUUCUCUGUUUAAACAUAUGCAUCGUUUGAUUCACACCUGCUCAUGCAAUUAGUACCUAAACAAAGCCGGUUUGACCGGAUUGAUCCAUUGUAAUUAGUGAAUCUUUAUAUAAAAAUAAAUGGAGUGAACUGAAUUACUAAUUUGUUUUUGAUUUGACUAAUCCUUAUAAAGUUAUUUGCUCAAAAAAAAAAAAUCUCUGUCUGAAAUUAUUUAUUUUCCUCGAGAAAUUGAAUUAUAUGGACCUGCGGCACCUUAAAAGGGAAGAGAAUUGAUUGGGCCUGUAACGAAGCCCAAAUUUGAGGUUUCCUAAUAUAGAAGUGAUCAACUUACAACGAAUAAGGACCGUACACGUGUAAACAUCUCCGCCUGGUUUUGACCAGAUAUUUUAUUAAUAACCGCCUCCCGAGUUGGUGUCGGGUAUAUUCUCAUUGCGAUCUCUAUCUCUCUAUCCAUUUUUUUGUUCAUUUCGUCGUCUUCUUCUUCUUCUUACAAAAAAAAAUGGGUCGCCGUAGCUCAGGAGGUAAGGGCUUCUCCUCUUUCCCCCUAUAUGUCAGAUCUAUUCGAUUAUAUCACUUUGGAUGAUGACGGAACUGUUUUGUUUGGGUCUGUGGUUAGUUAUUUGCGUGAAUCACAAAUCUAGAGUUUAUAGGAUGUUUGAUUUCGUGUUUAUUCUAUCUCUGAUAUAUCGGUUCGUUGAAGAUUCGAUUCAGUGGGUGGAAUUGGUUCUCAAUUUCUAGAAAGUUGGAGAUUUUUUUUUUUUUUUUUUGUAAUUUUGUGUUGUGAUGUGAUUCGUGUGGGGGGAUUGCAGGAAGAUCUGCACCUCGUCCUCGCCCUGCUGCUGCACGUGCCCCCGCUCCUCAACAUGGUAUUAUCUUAUUUUCCUAAAUCGUCUUGUUGCUCUGUGUGUUAUGACUAUUCAAUUCGAUCUAAUCCGCUGUUGAUUUUUGUGUUUUUUUCAGUAAACCGUGCACCUCCUCCAGCACCAGCUCAGGCGACCAGUGGUGGUGGCGGCAUGUUCUCAGGCAUUGGUUCCACCAUAGCUCAGGGUAAACGAGUCUCAUUUGUUCUUUGUCUAGACCAAACUUGUUGGUUUUAAAAACGUCUCUCUUAACCUCUUUGUUUUGUGUUUUUUGGGAACUUUCUGUAGGUAUGGCUUUUGGAACCGGAAGCGCAGUUGCACAUAGGGCUGUUGAUUCUGUCAUGGGCCCACGUACCAUUCAGCAUGAAACUGUUGAGGCUGCCUCUGCAUCUGUUGCCCCUGUCGGAAGCAGCAUGUUCCCGAGCUCCUGUGACAUUCAUGCUAAGGCUUUCCAAGAUGUAAGUUUUUAAUCUUUUUCUCUUACUCUCUUUUGUUCUGUUAUUUGUCAAGAUUCUAAGUGAAUGAGAAUGGAACUUUUUGAUUGAAUUCAUUCAAAGGUUUAUGACACUGAUGUUUUUGUUAUUGGGUGCAGUGCAUCAGCAGCUAUGGAAGCGACAUUAGCAAGUGUCAGUUCUACAUGGACAUGUUGUCUGAGUGCAAGAAGAACUCCGGUUCCACUAUUGGUGCCUGAAUUAAGCUUGUUUCAUUUCUUAUCUAGCUUUUGUCUAAACAGUAUGCAGCUUUUAUAUGCUGAGGGUCUGGAUAUCAAAUAACAACAUUUCAGAUACUGCAUGUUUUUCAAGUGUUUGUUGGUACUUAAUUUCUUAUUUUUAAAAUAAACUUGGGAGUGUUGGUUACUUUAUUUGUUUAAAGUUGCUAGUGUAUAACAUUCUUCCAACACACCAAGUCACCAAUGAUACAUAAGUUCAUCUAACCGGACAACCAUCAGCAAUGACGACUCUAGCAGUUGGACACUUAGCUAGAUCACAAUGUUUACCUCUUGUUCCACACCAAUCCAAAACCGCCAUAAACGCUACACCUGCGUCCAUCGCAGCUUACAGCACGUUGCCACCAACUUUUCCUGUACUGGAACACAAACAAGUUGAACAUCAUCCCGACCAAGGCAAUGAAUUGUAGUUCACAAGUGAAACCAAGAACGUUUGGAAACGUUUUGUGGCAUAACCACACUAUUACCGGUCCUAUCGCACCACACCACACCACCGAGGGAACUUCUUCACACCUGCUGUCAUACUCUCUCUGCAACUUGGAGUGAAUAAAUGAAAGGAACUAUUGUGUAACCAGCUUCAAGUGGAGCUUCACGAAUCUGUAUAGUGUAGCUAUCACUAGUCCUUUAAGAAAAACUGGAUCAGAGCUAAGAUCGUUGUAACAUCAAUCCGAUCUAAGUAUUAGGCUAAAUAUUCUAUUCUAGGAAACAAUAGCAACGGUUUCGUGGUGUAGUUGGUUAUCACGUCAGUCUAACACACUGAAGGUCUCCGGUUCGAACCCGGGCGAAGCCAUUUUGUGUUUUUUUAACUAACGAGCUUCAACGACGUCGUUACGUAGAUAGAUAAACUGCAACGAAAUGACCCAUCGCUCAAAGCCCAUGGAAAGGCCCAUAAUUAAUCUGCCCUGACCACCGGUCAGCCUCCGAGACCAUUCACGUCGGCGGGAAAGAGUUAGUUUGCGAUGGGAGAACACGAAGCGCGCGGCUGGAUCCGCUGCGACGAAACCGCGAAGCAGAUGCUAUCAAGAGUUCUCGGAGACCGCGCGUUCCUACUUCUUCCGCCACUCCACCGCGUGCCUCUACGCGCCGGGAACGUAGUCGAGAUCACUGGCUCGUCUCCGACUGCGAAAACUCAGAUCCUGAUUCAAGCCGCCAUCACUUGCAUUCUCCCGAAGACGUGGAACGGCGUCCACUACGGAGGAUUGGAGAAACUGGUGUUGUUUCUCGAUCUGGAUUGCCGAUUCGAUGUGCUGCGUUUAUCUGACAUGCUCAAGCAUCGUCUUCUCGAAGCUUACCGUAUGCAAACUUCCUCUUCGCCGCUGCUUGUGUGUUUUAAGUAGAGUCUUAUAAGUUUAGGAUUCAUUACGUUGUGAGCUUUGGCCUUUGGGAUUGAUUUUGAAUUCAGAUUCAUGAAACUGAGACGGUCUUAGAUAGAUUGAGAUGAUUGAAUGUAGUUGUUUCAGCGUAUCAGGGAUAGGUAAUGGAGCAUGGUGGCAACUUGAAGAGUCUAAUGUUAAGACUCAAGACAAGUCAAAGAUUGUUUAUGAUGAGGAGUUGUAUGUUUCGUGCAUGAAGAGGUUCUUGUAUCUUCGCUGCUAUGAUAGUCUCGAGCUUUUGUCCACUCUCAAGGUAUUGUUUUAUGUAUAAUGGAUUACAUUGUGAGGUUUGUGUUGGAUUCUUGGACCCUUCUAUCAUCAUCUCAUUGCGUUGUAGACAUUGCAUUAUCGGAUCAGACCGCAGGAAGCAUGUGGAAGCCAAGUAGGAGUGCUUAUGAUUGAUAGGUUUGUUUUGGAAAUGGUCUUUUGUCUUCGAAGGUUCUUUGAAUGCUGAAACUAAUUCACUAUAGGUUAGGAAUAUGUAAAGUGGCGCUAUAAUUGAUCUCAUAUUGGCUAAGACAAGAUAACCUAGUCCAAUAUAUCUGUUGGGGAUACUUUGUAGGGUUUUAUGCUUGCUACUUGACGAAUUUGAGUUAACUAUUCUGCAAUCUGUUCACCAGCAUCGGCGCUUUCCACUGGACUGAUCGUCUAUCGUCAUCACUGGCAUUGGAUAAAAACAACAGGUAAGAUAUAUCUACAUAAACACAGUCUAAGGGAGUCUCCAGUUACAGUCUCAUCUUUAUAAUUCUGCUUGGUGUAAAGUCCUGCCUUCAAUAUGGUUUAUCAACAUAAGGAGACAGCUUCUCUGUUUUCUUUACCAAUUAGGCUGCUUUAGUUAGAUCCUGUUUCGUUUAGCUUACGUAAUUCAAUACGUUGAAGAGUUUGGGGGGGAACAUUGAGUCUUGAUUCUUAUUUGUUUGAGACUCUUAUAUUUUUCUGAUAUACAGGAAAAGUCUCUCCCUUACGAAUGUGGUGGAGACGAUAGUGCAAGAGAUGAAGAAGCUAAUGCAGGUGCAUUCACUGGUGGUAAUUGCCACUAAAGCUACAAUCUACGAAGAGAAGUACCCUACAAAUGAGAAUAAUGGGUUAGUUGGUUAAUCGCACGCUUGCUUCUAUGUUGUCGUCAUAGUGGCUUCAUCUCUAACUUCCCGCAAAUUUCAGGAAGCUCUCCUCAAACAAUGCCAUGCCAGGGAAUGCUUCAAGUAAAGCUCAGCAGCCUCCGUUCCGUGAAUUCAUGCCUUCCUCUUGGCAGGUCAUUUCCCGAUGUGAACCCCAAAUGCCUCUUCUUAGUAGAUAAUUUUUUGACACACAAUACCAUUUUCAAGACUCUGUUUUUUUUCGUGCCAAAUUCACGAUUAUUUCAAAGGAUGAUUCUUUCUCACUAAUAAUCCUUUGUGGUCAUUGCAGGCAUUCGUGACACAUAAGAUAUUCAUGCGGAAGUCAGGUUUGAUAUAUUUUUCUCGCUUUUUUCGUUUAGCCCUUUCACUUUCUCUACGUGUCUUUGUUCAGUCAAGUUUAUGAUCUUUGCAGGUGAUUAUCAGUCUUCAGGACAACAAAGUUUGUCAGCAUAUUCACUUGAAUGGUUACAACCACAACUUAGUAGCAUUGACCGAUUCAUAGUAGACGAUGUAAGUAAACUCAACCAUUUCAUGUCUUGUAAGACCAUUUUACUUAGGCCCGGGCAUUUUACCCGUACCGAAGAUCCGACCCGAAAAAUCUUGACCCGAUCCGAAAUCGAUCCGAUCCUUUUACCCUAUUGGGUCUUGUUGUGAAGGACCCGCGGGUCUUGGACCCGACCCGACCCGAAUCCGAGACCCGAGUGGGGUAUCCGAAAACCUGAAACUUCUAGUAUAUAUUAGGUAUGUAUAGAUGUUUCAGUUUAUUUUUGGUAUUAUGGAUAUUUUUUUAAGUUUCAAAUUUUAGUUUUUGGGUAUAGUUUUGGGUUUCGUAUAAAAAUUUAGAUUGGAUAAUCAGAUAAAAUUUUGAAAUUUUUCAUGUCUUUGGAUCAGAUUUUAGAUAAGAUUUAUCAUAUUUUUUGAGUAUUUAAAUAUUUUUUGUGUGUGUGUUAGGUAUUUUUUGGGUGGAUCCGACAUGACCCGAACCGAACCCGAUCCAUAACCGAACCGAAUCCGAAUCAACAAACUCUAAUAACCCUAUUGGGUCUAACUAUCUAAGACCCGAUCCGGACCCGAGAAGAUCCGAACCGAUUCCGAACCGAGAAUUUUAAAUUAUCCUAUCGGGUCCUAAACUCUUAAACCCGAAGGACCCGGACCCGCAACGACCCGAUCCAAACCCGACCGAGGACCCCAAUGCCCAUGCCUAAUUAUACUCUAAGCAAACUCAUAUUUUGUUUCCUGUUUUCUCGUGCAGUCUGGCAUUGUCAUUGUCUCAUGAGUUAGAGAUUCCGUUUCAGGUAUUCUUUAAUUUUCUCUCUCUCUAUCACUUCUAGACACCACACAUUUGCUGACACUUACGCUUGUAUAUUCUGAACUCUGUAGAAAUCAUAACUACUGUAAGGUAGCUAUUAGCUAAGCAGCGUGCAGCAAAGUCUCCGGAUGUAAAGUUAAUGCAGAGUUUAUUUAUUUACAUCAGAAAGAGAGAGAAAAAAAGAAGUAAACCUUUGAAAGUAACAUUGUUCCUUUUACUUGAUAAGGUUAUUCUUACAAUAUGUGGAUAACCUUGUCUUAGAUAUAAAAAGAAAAAUCACACUCGCACACAUUUUGGAUUUGAAUUGGGUUGUUAUAUCUUUCUAAUAUUAUCAAAUUCUAUUAUCAGGAUUUGACAUCAAAUACUUGAAAUUGCAACUGCACGUGUUAUCCUAUAACCUUAUUCUUAGAAGAUCAUACUUUUUUUUUAACUUCCGAGAAACUUGAAAUUGAUUCUUAAUGGGACAUCACUACUCAGGUCUCAGGACUAAGCACUAGGAGUCGUGUUACAAUUUUCGACGCCAAAAUCAUUUUGUAGCAUUUUGCUUGUGGAAACUGUCUUAUUAUACAGUCAUCAAUGUUUGAGUGGUUACUUUUCUUUGUCCACAUAGUAUAUGUCUCGUUUUCACUACAUCUAUCUGAUCUUGGGACUUAGCAGAUAAGACAGUCUUGUCUCAUGUAAUAUCUUCAUCUUAUGGAAGAUUUGUAUGAUCAACUUGGAUUUAGGAAUGAUUAUUGCCUAAUGUAAUAAUUAGGUCUUACCAGGAGUGGGAGUAGUCAAAUCCUUUGGAUACUUGAUGAGAUGUAACAAUUUUUAACUAGUUAUUUAACAAAUAUGACUUCCACUGAAAAAAACUUUUAUGUGCUGGAUAUGAUGUGUGAUGUGCAACUAACAAUGAUUCUACUACUUUAGAUUGCAUUGAUUACCCACAAAUUCAUUCAUUUUUACAGUCAAUAGAUGAGUUUUGUUGAAAUAGUGAAUUUAAGAUUUUAUGUUCAUUUAGAUGUAAAACAACAUCCAACACAAAUCCAAAGAAAAAAAAACGAACGAAAAGUCGAGCUAUAUAAAAAAAUAGCUAAAAGAAUGGUUAAAAGCCUUAAAAAUAUUAAAGAUAAGAACGAAAGCAUUUUGCAAAAAGAACAAUUUAAAAGAUCGAAUAUAUGAGUAGGAAGGGCCUUGACGAGUCUGAAUUUGGUUUUUGCCCAACUUCCAUUAGCCUGAUGGUUACGUCUACUGCACACAACAAUUAGCCGAAACUAUAUCCAAUCCAAUCCACUCUACUCUCAUCCGUUAAUUAAAAGUUAAAUUAAAUUAAGGCUUUCUUUAUAGUAAAUUAAUAUCGCAAAGUUUGAUUUGCUCAUUGCUUCUUUUUUUUUGUUAGUAACAAUAUCACACUUCUCAUUAUUAACACCACGUACUCCAUGUUAAUCAAAGACAUUAGUACACCAUUUAUUUAAAAUCUUAGUCUAUUACUAUUAGAAUCAGACUACCUUUUCUAAUAUUUGGUGUCUUUUAAGCUAUCCAAUUGUAAAUUUAUUGUUUUAUAUUUCAUCUAAAAUUAAAAUAUUUGGCUAGUUAAAACAGUAAUUAUGUAAUCCAUCUAAUGAAACUAAAUUCAAUUCAUUGUAUGUUUGAUGUACUUUUUGGAUCACUUCAUACUCAUCUUAGCUUUCAAGUUUUCUAUUUUUUUAUUGCAUUAAUAUAAACGCAAACAAUAUAAGAUAAUUGAUACUCUAAUGAAAUAAUGAAAAUGUAUUUGAGUGAUAGUUGAGGACAAACUAAAGAAGACAAAGAUCUUUUGAUCACGCGUGUGGCAGUGGGCAUGUGCGUGCGUAAGCGUAAGCAAUAGAUCAUCCAAAUCCCCAAACCCCUCAAUAUGAUAUUAUGUAAUUUUGACGAUUCUACCCUUUUAUAAAGAAUAAUGCUAUUUUCACACUUUUAUCAUAUACCAAAAGUAUAUAUUUUUGUCUGUAACCUUGGAGAAAUCUGAAGCAAAGUUGAGGAGAGCACCAACACACUUCUAGUCGUUGGGGCUUGCCUACUGCUAUGCUCUCCUUUUUUAAUUCAUCCGAUGGAUUGCUUAGUAAGUUUUAGAAUUAAUAACAUGGAAAAUACUAAUAAUAAUUAUUACAAUAACCAGACAAUUGUUUGAAGCAACUAAAUAACAGUAGAGUGUCAAUUAUUUUAAGAGAGUAGUGGGUCCUAAGAAGAUAAAUCAGUUGAACUCUCAAUCUUUUGAGCAGUCUUUGAGUUUGUGUGGAUCUCAAUUUUAUAACAAAAGCCACUGAUUGCUACUUGAGGGGGACUGCAUAUGAGAAAGAUUGAUAAGUUUUAAAGUUUGCUUCAUACAUACUUAAAUCGCUAUUUAUUAAAAUUUUUUUUUUAAUUUUUAGCGUAUAUAUACAUAUUUUUAUACAAUAUUGUUUCUUUGUCAAAUUUAGGCCAAAAUCUUUGUUAACAAUUGACAGAUGUAUAUGAUUCUAUUUUGAUUUGUGUGGUAAUCUUGCAGAUAUAGUAAAGCCAAAACACAAUGAUCUACAAAUUUAUGGUUGUAUCAUCCAAAACAUUCGUCAAAAUUUGGCUAAUUUAUAUUUCUUUCAGUUUUAGCUGUUGGCUAAUUUAUAUUUCUUUCAGUUUUAGCUGUUUGGUUGACAGUAUUAUAUUUGUAUCCUACUUUAAUACUUUAGUCAAUUAUAUAAAAUCAUACAAAUAUCUAAAAAAAUCAUUUAUCUCUCCAUCCAAAAUGUAAGCGUAAUAUUUUCAAUCUCAGUUAUCAGAAUUUUACAUAUCAAAAUUCAGUACCUGUACAAAUAUUUAUAAUAGAUAUAUAAAACAUGGAAAAUAUCUUAAAGUUCAGAUAAAAACAGGAGAGAGUGUAAUAAUGGGAGAGUAUUGGGUACACACAAAGGUACAAAAUCUCAAAAUGAAGGCAAAGGUAGAGAGAAAAGUGGAGCCUACAAUCCUAUGGUUGACGGCCAAACCCAUUUACAUGUGCGCCACGUGGGUUAUUGCGGGUGCAUGAUCUCAGCAUGAAGUGUCAUCAUCACUCCUCGACCUCGAAAUACUCCUGCUAAACAGUUAUAAGUUUCUAGUAUUAUUAAAAACAUUAUGUAAGUUUAGAGUAUACAUUAUUUAUUUUGGUUUGUAGCUAAUUUUGUCUUUGGCGUAAAAUGUGGACUACCACAUUAAUACAAUAGAAAACUGACCACUAAAACGUGGCUAAAAUGUCCUAAACAGUAAACAGUGAACACUAUGAUUGAGUUUUUCUACUUGGUGUUUACAAGUUAAAGGUUAAAUGCAUUGCUUCUUCUACAGUAAAGGCGUCUCCAACCACCGACACCUUUUUAGUGUCAAAACCACGCUAUUUUAAUGUAAUUUAAACACUAAAACCAAAGUUUUUUCUAACCACAACACUAAACUUCACGUUAAAAUUAUUUUAUAAUAUUAUAUGUAUUAAGUCUUUUAUUUAUCAUUUAUUUAAUUGAAUGUUUUAGUAAUAAAAUAAAUGAAUAGUGUUUUAAUGAGAUGAAUAGUAUUUUAGUGUGGUGAAUAGUAUCACACCAAAUUUGAUAUCAAAAUUUAGGGGGAAGUUGCAUUUUAAACCCUGAAGCUGACACAUUCUUGCAGUUUAAACACUUAACCUUUUUCACUAGCAUUUUAAUACCUCAAACUAGAAAAGUUGUCGAAACAAACCCUGAAGUCGUAUCUCCGCGUUUUCCUCGUGACCUUACUUGACGGCACUGUUCAGGACGUUUACUGUUUAAAACACUGUGCCGUUUUGUUGAUUAAAAAACUAGGAACCGUAAAUUUUUUUAAUAAGUCUUCUUCUUCCUUUCCAAAUCGAAUUGGGGAUCUAGGGUUUCAUAAAUUUACGAAACCAGAAAAAGUGAAAGACGAUUCUCUGCCACAAUUCAGUCUCAAUUCCAAAACAGUAAAUCGUUUUUGUAAUCUUGUAAAGUUUCUAAAUUCUAGAACUUUUGAUUUCAUAAAUUCUUAAGAUGGCUCAAAGUGUGUUUGUGAAGCUAAAAUUAGCGGUAUUAGUUAGAGAUUCAUGUUUGUACUUGGUGUUAUAUAUCUUGUAGAUGGCUCAAAGUUCAAGUUACUCUACCAUUGACAACAAAAAGGAAAAAGUUGUGGUUUGCAACUGUAACAUUGAAGCAAAGGGGAUUCAAGCUUGGACUGUUGACGACCCUGGAAGGAGGUUUUAUACCUGCGAAGGGCGUAGAGUUUCUAACGGAUACCAAACCUGCAACUUCUUUCGAUGGUAUGAAGUUGAGAACCCACACGGGUGGCAAUAUACUGCAUUGUUGGGUGCUAGAAAUGUUAUACGCCAACAGAAAGAAGAUAUUAGUAACCUGCGAAACCAAGUAAGAGAACUUAGCCUUGAGAAUGUAAGAAUUGGCGGAGCAGUUAGGCUUGAGAAUGAAAGCAGUGGCCAACUCCACCUGAUUCAGACCUCAACUGUGAAGCAUGUGAAGCGCUUAGAGGAGAAAUAUUGGUUCUAAACAAGAGGAACAUGGUGUAUCAUAAUGUUUUAUCACGUUGGCAAUUGGAUUUAUUGUGGUUAUUUGUGUCUUCAUGGGUAUCUUGAAGUGGUAAAAGACUAUUGUUGUUAUUGUUAAGACUGGUUAAGCUUCUUUCAUGUUGUUAAGACUUUAUGUAAGCUUCUUUCAUGUUGCUAAGACAAUUUAGGUUAUGUAUUUGAUGUUGUUAAGACUUUUUCAGUUUAUGUAUUGUCUAUGUAAGCUUCCUUCAUGUUUUAUUAUUAAGAUUUAAGACUAUUUUGCCGUGUCUCAUGAUCUAAUACCCAAUUCCGACAUUGAAAAUAAUAGAAAAACAAAAGACAAAGUUCAAAGGUGCUGAAGAAACUCCAACUCAAAUUUUGAAACAACAAAAGACAAGCUCCAUAACGUUUUGAAGAAAUAAAGACAAACUACAGCAAGUCAGUGAACCAACAAAAGCAAAACAAAGACAUGAGAUCACUCUUGUGGAGGCUGUGGAUUAAGAUCAGACCUAUCAUACACUCGAUCUCCAAACACUUCAAAAGGACGAUUUGUGAAUGGACUCCAUAAAGUCCCAACACCAUGAGGAAUGUUGGCUGUCUUCCUUACCUUAAAAGGUCCUCGUUAAGGUUUCUUAGCAUGAGGCUUGGGGUCAGAUGAGAAUCCAGUGGCUUCUACAGGUUGAGAGGAAGAUCCAGUGACGUGAACAGACUGAGAUGAUGAUCCAGUGGCGUGAACAUGCUGAAAAGAAGACCUAGUAUUUUGAGUUUUUCUUCUUCUUGUAGAUGGAGGCUUAGGAGUGCCCGGUGUAAAGAAAUGUGUUAGAUACAAUUAAGAAAGAAACAUUGUAUAGCUAUAAUUCAAAAAUUACGUCUUCUAGAUUUUUACGAGGUCUGCCACGCUUAUUUUUUGGUCCCUCAUAAACCACAGUUUGGUUUUUGCAUCCAGUUUUAAUGUGUCCAGACUAAUGACAGUUGCUACAUGUGGGUAUGCGUCUAUGUCUUGACAAUUUUUCAGCAGUUUCAAGCGCUUCAAAUGACUCUUUCUUCCUAUAUCGUGUUCUUGUCUCCCUCUUGGUUUCCUUAUCUCUGGUAUCCCAAUAGGUGGCUUGCCUAUCAUCUUCCACAAGUUUUUGCCAUUGACAGGUUUGAUGUUGUCAGAGUAAGUUCUUUUCAUCACAUGUGUGUAGUAAUAUUCUGCAGUAUACUUCACAGGAUCCUCCUGGUUGUCAUCAAGCACACACACAGCAUGUUUACAAGGAAUACCUGUGAGAUCCCAUCGCCUGCAAGCACACUGAUGUGUAGCCAAAUCCACCAUGUAACCACAGUCGAACUCAUUCACCUCGUACAAGCUGAAACCGCUGCGAAUUGUUGAACAAUGUUUUUUUGCACAUCUCGCUUUCUCCAACAAAGCCAUUGUAAUAGGUGUUACAAUGGUGUCCCACUUAUCUGCCGUAAAGAACCGGCUUGAUAUCCUUGUCAUUGCUUGUCUGCGUAUGUCCUCCAACAUGUUGAUCAUUGGUUUUGCCCUUGCCAUCUUUAUGUUUCUGUUGAAACUUUCUGAUAAAUUGUUGUGCACAUCAGGACAAUGAGACUCCACAUUGAAGAAUGCUCUACACCAGCGCUCUGGGUCUGUUUUGAGUAAUUCAUUGUGUGCCACGACAUCGUAAGCCUCUACCAAACGCAUCUUCUCUUUGUACUCUCCCUCGGUGUAGCUGUAUGCGACUCCCCAAAACAAUGACUUAAACUCUGACCUUGAGAAACCAAGCUUCUUCCAAUUAGCAUAAAUGUGCCUAGCACACAUGCGAUGUUCUGCUUCAGAAAGUUCUAAUUCGAUAGCGUGAACAAGUCCUUUUUGUUUAUCCGAGAUUACAGUAAGAUCCUUCCCAAAUUCCAAGCCAAUAUCAUGCUUCAGCUUUCUCAUAAACCAUCCCCAAGUAUCUUUGUUUUCUCCUCUCACAACUGUCCAAGCAAUAGGGUACAUCCUGUUAUCGGCAUCACUCCCAACUGCUGCAAGCAAAUCUCCGUUUAAAUCUCACUUCAAAAAGCAUCCAUCAAGUCCGAUAACAGGUCUACAACAACUCUUCCAAGCAGUCCGCAAUUCUAUAAAGAAAAUGUAGAAGCAGUCAGACAUCUGAACACCAUUAACCUCUCUUGUGCAUAAAUCAGUGCUUAUACCCUGGUUUGAUCUACGCAACUCUUCUUCAUAAUCCCAUAGCUUCCAAAACUGUGUUGUUUGAGCUUCAAGAAUUGUCCCCAAUGCAAUGUCUCUUCCUCUGUAGCACUUAGAUAUAGGUACAACAAUGUCAUAUCUUACCUUUAUCGCAUCUUUGAUCGUUGAAGCUUGUAGAUUGACAUUUAUGCGUAAUUCUUCUCUAAAAAGGACAGCAAUCACACAUUGCUUCAACAUUGAGAUCCUGCUUGAUUUACCAUGGUUGUGCUUCAUGUGACACACUUUCACCAUCCACUUGUUAAUCGGCUUCUCCACUGAACAAUAAACUCAGAAAGGACAUUUCGAUUUGCAACAAAUCACACCAAUCCUGAAUGACUCCGACCUUGCCAUCUUCACAUCGUAUUGAGUAUUCAUAAAAUACUUCAAGACUUGGUCUUUAAACUCUAACCCACUGUUAAACUUUUGAAAUAACCAGAUGUAAGGUGGUUUUUCAUAGUCACCAUGGUAUUUAUCACUUCCAUUGACCUUCCCUUUUCCUUUAAGCUUUCGAUUCCAUUCUUCCCAUUCAUCUUCUGACUCUACUGGUGUGUCUAGAUAUUCAACAUCUACUGGCGCCCUCUCAUCUUCACUGUCAUCUUCCUCUAUACCAUUUCCAUAUGCUUCUUUAUCUAGUACAGCUUUCUCUCCUUCUUCAAAGACAGACUGAAACCUUACAUCGUUAGUAUCAUCUGUUACAUCAGCGACAACUUCAUCACCACCAUCUUCAUUGUCUUCCUUUUCAGCCGGAUUCACAGUCGGGUUAUCUUCCUUUUCAGCCGGAUUCUUAUCUUCUGAUCCUUCUGGCUCAUCAUCUUCUUUAGGUCUAUCGACAUCAUCAUUCUCACUGUGUUCUUCGUCUUCAAUGUGUUCUCUAUCUGAAAGCUGAAUCACACCGGGUAUGUGUUCUGAGCACUCAUGUUCAACAAACACUACUACAACAUCUAUCCCUAGCUUGCUCACAGAUCGUAGCAUCAACAUCUCCUCAUCGUACCUAUCAUAUAAAUACCGCAGUUGCUUCAUCUCUUCUUUUUCUGAUUUAAACCAAAUCAAGCCAACUGGUGCUCUAAUUAGCGCUUCUUCUUUGCAAAAAUCGACAAACCUAUCCCACAAUAUCUCAUCGAACUUCCAUUCCACAUUUUUGCUCCCUAAUUCACCUAAGUACUCAUAAUCUUCCUUUCCAAUCUUCUUCACUGAACCACCAAAAUGAAUCUUCAAUUCGAUUUCCUGCGAUUCACUGUUAUAAAAAUUGAGUCUUUAGAAGUUUCUAAGAGACAAGAACGAGGUAGAAGAAGUGAAGAAUCGAUACAAACUUACGCCAUUUUUGGGUUCUUCUCGACGAGAAUCGUCUUUCUCGUUUUAGUUAGAACCCUAAUCCCCAAAUCGAUUUGGAAAUAAAAUUAAUGUUGUGUUUUUUAAAGGUGUCGUUUUUGAUCAACAAUACAACAUGCAAUUCGCCCAGGUCAACUUUGUUAAUUAAGCCGUUAAGUAGAAUUACGAGAAAAACGCGGGAUACGAUUUCGGGGUUUUUUUCGACAAUUAUUCUAGUUUGAGGUAUUAAAAUGCUAGUGAAAAUGGUUGAGUGUUUAAACUGCUAGAAUGUGUCACCUUCAGGGUUUAAAAUACGAUUUUCCCCAAAUUUUACUGUUGCACUAAAAUAGUGUGAUUUUUAGAGUGCCAUUGAAGAUGAUUUAGUAUAAAAAUCUCACUAAAAUAAUGUUUUUGAAAUAUUAUUAGUUUAAAUGAUGGGAAAUGGAGAAUCACAAAAUAAUAUAUGGGGUUUUUACCAAAACUAACCCACAACUUGAUUUUAACCCCAAACCUAUACCCAAACUUGAAUCAAAUGCAGAACUAACCUAAAAGCCUAGUGAAAUUACAGCUCAGCCCCUUGUGAACAAACAAAAAAAUAGAAGCCAUUUUUACGAAUAUAGCCCCAGUAAGUCGUCUGAGUCGUCUGAGAUGUUGGCAGUCGUCUGGACGACUGAAGUUUAAGUCUUCUGGACGACUGAAGUUUAAGUCGUCUGGUACCAGUUUAUUUUAAAAAUAAUUUAUAAAUCUUGUAAAAAAAUAUUUUGAUGCGUGAAAAAUAAAAAUCAGGUGAUUAUAAACAGUUUUAAGUGAUAUAAAUUAAGAUAUGAUAAAAUUGAUUUGUUUUGAAGAUAGAUGAGUGGAAGUAUUGAAUCAUGAUAUUCUUUGGUUUAGGAGUUUGGCAAACAUAUGUUGUAGUAUUGUAUGUAUUGUUAGGGUUAGAUCUUGGAAAACUAAAAUGUUUUUUUCAAAUAUUAGUUUUCACCUAUAUGUGUUUAUUUCUGUGUAUAGUAAACACCUUUCAAGUUUGAUUUGAUUUUAUGAAGUGUUUAAUUAGAUAAUUAAGUUUAGGGGUUAUGUUUAGGGUGUGGACGACUUAUAUUUCAGUUGUCUGUUGAAUAAUUUACACGGACGACGUAAUAUUCAGUCGUCCACAUCGUACCGAACCGUUAAUUUACCAAUGUACGUUUUAACCAAACCGGAUCAUUUACCGGACAUAUAAAAGCUAUUUUUUUCACUAUUUCACAACUUUACGAAACCCUAGCGCCGAUUCUCUCCAACGGCGAUUUCGAAGGCGAUAAGACGAAAACCCUACCGUGGUCGUGUUCCGCCGUUAUCUUCGCCGGUAAUCUCUCCGAUUACGACGAAUCUCGUUUCUCCAUCAUGCCGUAGAGUAUUUUCGUAGUUUAAACCGACCGUCCGCUUCUUAUUUUUCAGAUCUGAAAUCUCGUUUGCCAAACUCCGCUGCCGGUAUGUUAUUUCUCAUGUAUUAAGGCGUUUAGCCGCCGGAAAACCCUAAAUAUUUUAGUAUUGAUUACUCAGACGACUUCCAGGAAGUGAGAAGACUACUUGGACGACUUCCAGGAAGUCUUCUACGAUGUCUUACUCUCGACUUACAUGUAAGUCGUCUGAGUAGUCUUCUCACUUCAUGGAAGCCGUCUGGAAGUUUUUGUCAGACGACUUUGUCAGAAGACUUCCAGACGACUUUACAGGAAGUUCAGACGACUUCCAGAUGACUUUACAGGAAGUCCAGACGACUUUAAGGACGACUUCCAGACGUCUUUCAGACGACUUCCAGACGACUUCCAGACGACUAACAAGUAAGUCGUCCCAGAAGCCUUCCAGACGACUAACAAGUAAGUCGUCCAGAGAGUAAGACAUCGUAGAAGACUUCCUGGAAGUCGUCCAAGUAGUCUUCUCACUUCCUGAAAGUCGUCUGAGUAGUCUUCUCACUUCAUGGAAGCCGUCUGCAAGUCUUCUAUAGCAUUUAGCAUAGUGCGCAACCUAUGUGUUUGAGAUGGUUGUUUGUGAUUAUUUGCAGGCCUUAAAAUGGAUUUACCAGAACUCCCGCCGAGGAUGUUUACAUUAGGAGAAGAGCCCGAUGCAAUCAGGAGCAUUUCGUAUCAUUCUGAUGACACGAAGUUGUUUAAAGCUCUAUGUGAUUGUCUCACAGCUGACGAAUAUGACGAUCUGAAGGCGUCGAAGUUAAGAGUGUUCAUCAAAUUCAAGGAGCUUGACUUUGGUUGGACUUCAAGGCUGGUACAUUUUUUGCUCUGUUUCCAGCUGGACAUCAAGAAGAAGUUUGAGCUCUGGAGUCUUGUCGUUUCACAACCUGUGAGGUUUUCACUGAUAGAGUUUGAACACCUCACUGGGCUGAACUGCGAUUACAUCAAGGACCUGGAAAAUCCAAGGUGUGAGGUUACGUCGGAGAUGGCUGCUUUCUGGGAGAAGAUGCGUGUUGAUAUCGAUACUGGGCCAAGUAUUGAACAGAUAACAGAAGCAUUUUACAACUGCGACGAGUGGUCUCCGGACGAUCGCAUGCGGCUGGGAUACCUUGCCAUCUACGCAGGAUACAUCGAAGGGAAAAAGUUCUCAUCCGCUACAUCAGCUAGUCUUGCAAGGCUAGUGAUGGAUUUAGAAAAAUUUGAGAAUUAUCCAUGGGGGAGAGUGGCGUUUAAGGUGCUGAUGGAUUCUCUGAAGGCAAAAGACUUGACGCAAACUGGUUACACUGUUGAUGGGUUCAUACAAGUGCUCCAAGUGUGGGCGUACUAUGCUAUGCCAGAAUUGGGUGCUAAUUAUGGGUCUCCCAUACCAAACAGACCGUCUCCACUGUUGCUGGCUUACAGGGGUGGCAAAAGACAACGCAAAUGUUUUAAGGCUGCUAUCAAUAAACAGGUACUUAACUUCACUCCUAAGACUUCUCAGACGACUUGAAGUUAAGUCGUGUGGAUCGUCCUCCAACAAAAGACCACUCAGACGACUUACUUUUAAGUCGUUUGAGUGGUCUUUUUGUUGGAAGACUUCCAGACGACUUAACUUUAAGUCGUCUGAGAACAAAAUACUUCUCAGACGACUUAACUUUAAGUAGUCUGAGAACAAAAUUCUUCUCAGACGACUUAACUAAGUUUAUAUCUUUUAUUUAUUGCAGAUUAUCGUGAAGAACCUCGUUCAGAAGGAUUUUGAUGAAAUGUUUCCAAAAUGGGAUGGAGACGUAGAUGACCCCGCCGCGGAUAACAUAAUUAAAGUCAUGUUUAAUGAUCCUGGAUGGGAGUGGACCAUGGAAUGCUGGCCAGUAACCGGUACUCGCAAGAUUGUGAAGAUGGAAGUGAGUCCAGUGAAUAAUGAAGUAAGUCCCGUGAAGUCAGAGAGUGUUGUGAAGGAAGAAAGUAGCAGACCUCGGAAGAAAGCUCGUAAAGGGUCUUCUGUUUCUGCUGAGACACCUGCGGCGGGUAGUGAAGGGAUGACGCAUCAGCAGAUUGAAAAGUCCUUGAAGGACAUAUCUGAUGCCAUUAAUCUUGGCUUUGGGACGUGCCUUAAGGAGCUCAAGUUACUGGCGGAUAGGAUGGUAGCUGUGGAGAAGAAGGUGGGAAUCACCAACAGAGGGGGUUCAUCUGAUGAUCGUCAACUUACAACCACUUCAAAUCCACCAAAACCUGCUGACGAACCCGGGGUUAGUACCAAAACCUCUCCCAAAAUUGCAGAGAAGAGAGUCACUAGGCAAAGUGUUAGGAAGAGUCAGGACUGAUGUGCUUUGUUUCUAGUGUGCUUUGAUGAACCACUGUAUGCCUUGAUUCUGAACAUGUGUGCUUUGUUUCUAGUGUGAAUUUGAUCUUUGCUGUAAGGGCUUUUGUUAAUAGUUUUUAAACACUGUGAACUCGAAAUUGCAGAGUGAAAGUGUGAAUGGGGCGAAAGCAGGACGGAAGGAAGCCAAAGAACCGAGUCUUACUACAGAACCGAGUUCCUCGAGAGAGCUCUGUCUUGUGAGUCCUGCAGUCGACUUACCGAGUGAUGAUCCUAGCCUUCUUAUAUUGGACAAACAAGUUCCCACCGCUACAGAUUUACUCGUUGAAGAAGCUAGAAGGCAGACAAAGAAGGAGACUGCUUUGGUGAAUCUCCGUAAAAAAAGUGUGCGAGAAAGGAAGCUUGCUCCCACACAGCAAACUCCUUUUAAGGGAAACAACACUGCCAAACAGAUCAUUCCAAACAAACAGGUUGGCGGAGGCUAUGAUCCUUUUGCACCCUAUGACAAGAUGAAGUCGAAGGAGCUCACUGCUUGGGUGCAAAAAGAUCCGUAAGUUGCUGUUAAAAAUAUGCUUAUUUAUAUUUGAUUAAAAAAAGCUUCCAUUUGAUUAUUUACAUUUUGUGUUUGCAGUUCUUAUAAACUGCCUCUGAAAAAAAAACCACGUAGAUGUCCAAGUCGACUUUAUCAGGUCCUCCGAACCCCCUUAGAAUGGCUGACCGACCAUGUAAGUCUUCUGUUAUUUUCUUACUCUUAUAUAAGUCGUCUGGUAGUUAUCUGGUACUUUUCUGAUUUGUAUAAGUCGUCUGUGAGUCGUCUGUGAGUCGUCUGUGAGUCGUCUAUAAGUCGUCUGGUAGUUAUCUUACGUAAGUCGUCUGGUAGUUAUCUUACGUAAGUCGUCUGGUAGUUAUCUUACGUAAGUCGUCUGGUAGUUAUCUUACGUAAGUCGUCUGGUAGUUAUCUUACGUAAGUCGUCUGUAAGUUGUCUCUAAGUCGUCUCUAAGUCGUCUGUAAGUCGUCUGGUAGUUAUCUUACGUAAGUCGUCUGUAAGUUGUCUCUAAGUCGUCUCUAAGUCGUCUAUAAGUCGUCUGGUAGUUAUCUUACGUAAGUCGUCUGUAAGUUGUCUCUAAGUCGUCUCUAAGUCGUCUGUAAGUCGUCUGGUAGUUAUCUUACGUAAGUCAUCUGUAAGUCGUCUCUAAGUCUUCUCUAAGUCGUCUCUAAUUCUUCUCUAAGUCUUCUGUUAGUCGUCUCUAAGUCGUCUGUAAGUUUUUUUGACUUGUAUUGUUUUAUAUGCAGCAAAUGGAUGCUUUUAUAUUUUCUCGGCAGUGGAGGGCCUCCUACCCUGAUUUUAAGAGCGACACUCCUGAUGCCAACGGUUUAGGAAGAAGACUCCCGGGUGGGGCGUGGAAUUAUCAUGCAGGCGUGAUACCUUCUUUUUGCCAAUCGAAGAAGGUUUGGGGGGUGGAUGUGGAUGAUAUCUAUGCACCAGUGAACUUCAAGAACCAGCAUUGGAUUGCUAUAUGGAUAUCGAUCCCUAAGAGGCACAUCGUCGUCUGGGACAGCAUUGUCUCUCAUAUUAGCCCUGAAGAACUCGAUGAGGUAAUGGAGCCUUUUGUCACAAUGGUCCCUUAUCUGCUUGUUGAGUGCGCGCUCUCUGACGAACAAAAGGUUCAAUACACAUUGGAGCCAUACACAUAUGCGAGACAAACCGUUGGAGUGCCUCAGUGCCGAGCUGGUGAUUGUGGCCCCUUCACUCUGAAGUACAUCGAAUGUCAUGCUCUUGGGAUAGAAUUUCCCAGCGCGUUUGACAAAAAACACGGGAAGACCAUCAGGGAGAAGAUGGCGCUGGAUAUAUUUCGAGAGCUUCCUAUGUGCCAUGAAUGGGAAAACCAAGACAAUGAUGAGAACCUGGCAACGUAUGAUUAGAUAUUGGAUGUGUUAUUGUGUGCUGUUGCGAUUGUAUUUGAACUUGAUGCUUUUGUGUACUGUUGUUUGGUAGAUUAGGGGAUGUUAACAGGGUCAGGAUAGGAUGAUGUUUUUUGUAACCUAUCCUCAUACCAAACUAGAAUUCCGUAGGAAAUUAGUUUGGUAGUGCAGUAACCUUUCGGAAUAUGUAAUGUAAAACUUGUCUUUUUUAAAUUGCACUGUUGGAAUUAGUUUGGACGAUUUAACCUAGAAGGUCUACAAAGAAAAGUUCAUAAAACAUAUAAAUUCAUAACAUAGAGUCUACAGAGAAGUUCAUAAAACAUAGAAAAUCAUUGUGGACGACUUACUUAAAGGUCUUCUGGACGACUAACCAGAAGAAAAUUCUAGUUAAGACGUUGGACGACUAACCAGAAGGUCUACUGGAUGACUUACUUAAAGGUCUUCUGGACGCCUAACCAGAAGAAAAUUCUAGUUAAGACGUUGGACGACUAACCAGAAGGUCUACUGGAUGACUUACUUAAAGGUCUUCUGGACGACUAACCAGAAGAAAAUUCUAGUUAAGACGUUGGACGACUAACCAAAAGGUCUUCUGGACGACUUACUUAAAGGUCUUCCACGUCAGUUCUUACAUUGUGGACGCUUAUGGCCAGUUUCUUUGCAGACUGAGCACCUAUAAACCCUGUGUUGCUUCCGGGGUUUGCGUCCUCUCAUCCUGGAUAACUCCAACCAAGAUUGCCAUCUUGAUUUCUUCUGUCUCCCCGGACCACGCUUUACUUCCGGAGGAAAGCAUGUGCGUGCCUCAACAAGUUGUCCAACACAAGGAUAUAUAUUCUCUGAGUAUCCAGCAAACAAAGUAUCCUUUGAGUAGACCGGCCACACAAGUGUGGAGAUAUGCACACCAGCUGCUGUUCCAGCUGCUAUAGCAUGAGAGCAAGGUAUUUUCUCGACUUGAUAGACACCACAAUCACACUUUUGAUGUUCCAGAUCAACAUUACAGUCCCUAUUGCCACCUUUCACAAAGAACUUCCAUCCAUCAAUUUGUUGGACUCUCAGAGUAUACGCGUUCUCCUCUCGGACAGCAAGCAAGUGUUCAACACCCCGACUAUGUUGAGUUGUAAGACUCAAAGCAUCUCCUCUCCUUUUCCAGUACCACCUUCCUAGCUUCUCCCUUAUGAACUCCAGCAGGAACUGAAUAGGAAAUCCUCUUGCUCGCUUCAGUGCGGAGUUAAUUGAUUCAGCGAUAUUGCUCGUUUUUAAGUUGUACCUGUCUCCCUGACAAUGAACCCUAGACCAUAGGGUCACAUCGGCUUCCUCCAGAUAAUCAGCAAGAUCCGGAUUUGCACUCCAUAUCUCAUCCAUGUACCGAUCAAAAUCGUAAAGUGUAUGAGCAUAAGCAGCACCUUUCACCAAGUACAAGAGAUGCUUCCCUUUAUACUUUUUGACAAUAUUCUCUUGAAGGUGAUAAUAACAUAUUCCUCGGGUUGCCCAAGGAAACACCUUUUCACACGCAUUUAUAAUGGAGGCGUGCCUGUCGGAGACUAUCACCAGAGGAUACUCAUCAGAUACACAGCUCGCCAAUUUUGUGAAAAACCAUUCCCAAGAUUCAUCAUUCUCACCAUCUACGAUCCCAAAAGCCAAUAUAUCUGAAAAUUACCGUCUUGUGCGGUUGCAACCAACAUAGUACCCCCAUACUUCCCACUUAGGUGAGUCCCAUCUACCACAAUGACCCUUCUCUGAUACUUAAAUCCUCUGAUCGAAGCUCCAAAAGCAAGAAAUAGAUACUUAAAUCUAUUCAGAGAAUCAAGUUCUAUAGCUGUGAUAGAACCCGGAUUUGCUGCCUUGAUUUGCUCCAAAUAUGAAGGCAGUCACUCAUACCCGUCUUCCGCUGAUCCUCUCACCAUUUCUUGCGCAUAUAACAAUGCUCUGUAUGAAGUGGUGUAAUCAAGUGUCAUGCCAAAUAUGUUCUUCAUUGCAUCUUUGAUAUGCUGCGGAUUCAACCCAUCAAUGAUUCCCACUCGAUCUAUGAAAAGUCGACCAAUGUACUUCGGAGUACAACGUUUCCGCUGAGCGAUUCUGUCUGGGAUGGAACAUGUAUGAGUUGCCAAAUACUUGGUUACCCAAAACGUUUUAGUCCCAUGUUUCACACUUGCUCGGACCUUCCAUUGACAACCACUAACACGACAUGUUGCCACAAACAGAGUUUUCGUUGACUUGAAUAUUCUGAAGGAGAACCUACGCCUCACCGCUGCCAACCGCAACUCUGAAAGCAGUGCAUCCUUACUAGCAAAACUCUGGUUGACAUAGAUUCUGUCUGCAGAUGAUCCUUCUCCUUCACAACCAUAUGCCCCUUUGUAAUCAUCAAAACAAAUUUCAUCAUCUUCUUCCUCAUCCUCAUCUUUAACCUUUCCAUACUCACUAUAAUCCUCAGCAUCAGCGACAACAGGGAUGUCAGCAUCCUCCUCCCCAUCAUGAUCCUCAGCUUCAUCCCCCUCUUCAGCUUCAUGCCCCUCCUCAGCUUCAUCCCCCUCUUCAUCUUCAUCGCUCACAUCAGCUUCAUCCCCCUCCUCAGCUUCAUCCCCCUCCUCAGCUUCAUCCCUUUCCUCUGAAACCGUUCUCAUCUUGCUAAAGCUUGAUACACAAAGACGUACUUCAUGCGUUUUAGUUAUCUCGAGCAAGUUUCGAACUUGUCUAUCACUUGUAACAUGAAUAGGAGGAAGGUCUGGAGCCAUCUGUUGUAAUGAGUAGGUUAGCUCCACAGACUCUGUGUUCAUGUCCAGGGUAUAAUCUUCUUGAGCCAUUGCAACAAGAUCAGCAUGUGUCGAACCUUCAUUCAAAAAUAACAUUCUCGCUCCUUUGAAAUGAUCAACCACAAAAUUCCAACAUCCAUCUUUCAACAACCAUUCUCCAUACACUGCAUGUAACUGAUGCAUCAUCUAAAAAAGUCAAAAUAAAACACAUUAGCAAACUUAGAACAAAGAAAACGAAAGUUUAUUAAAGAUCGAAGCGGACGACUUCAAUCUAAGUAGUCCAGACGACUAAAAUAUAUGUCGUCUGGUCAACGCAGAGGUUAUUUUUGCAAUUGACUUUGAAAUCUGUUAUUUCGGACGACUGAAAAAUAAGUCGUCAACUAUUGUUUGGCUAAAAAAAAACUCCAAAAAAGCUAGACGACUUACAUUUCAGUCGUCAUAGGUUAGUUUUGCAUUUGACUGGAUAAUUUCAGAAGUUUGACUUCCCUAGACGACUUACAUUUCAGUCGUCUGGCGAAAAUUAAAAUAGCAAUAUUUUUUUUAAAGUAGACGACUUACAGUUAAGUCGUCAUAGGUUAGUUUUGCAAUUGAAAAGAAAAACUUCAAGAUUUAAUUAUAUACAGACGACUUAUAAUUCAGUCGUCCACGAGACGACUGAAAUGUAAGUCGUCUAGGAUUUACGAGGUUUGACCAGAAUCUCGGAAAAAAAAUCCUGGACGACUUACAAGUAAGUCGUCUCGUGGACGACUGAAUUAUAAGUCGUCUGUGUAUAAUUAAAUUUUGAAAUUUUUUUUUCAAUUGCAAAACUAACCUAUGACGACUUAACUGUAAGUCGUCUACUUUUAAAAAAAUAUUGUUAUUUUAAUUUUCGCCAGACGACUGAAAUGUAAGUCGUCUGGGGAAGUCAAACUUCUGAAAUUAUCCAGUCAAAUGCAAAACUAACCUAUGACGACUGAAAUGUAAGUCGUCUAGGUUCUUUGGAAAUUUUUUUGAAACCAAACAAAAACAGACGACUUAACUUUCAGUCGUCUCAGGUUACAGAUUUCAAAGUUAAUUGCAAAAAUAACCUCUGCGUUGACCAGACGACUUCCAGGUAAGUUGUCUACAGCCAGACGACUUCCCAAGUAAGUCGUCUGACGAACAGAUCUGGAAAAAAACUCGAUGUCAUACCUUAAAUUGGUGAGAUAAGUUCCUUAGCAUACAUAAGGCUUCUCCAAGCACACAGAAUCACAAAUGAAAGUAACCCACCCAGAAUCGUUAGCUUCUAUGACUCUAUGAACCAUAAAAAAUUUAGAAUCAAAAUCUUGGGUUUUUUUAGCUCAUUGUGGAGAGAAAGUGAGAGAUAUGUUGUGUUUAGUUCACAAGAAUGGAAAAAGAAAAAGUGUAAAUCGAUUUUGGGAGCAUUAAGAGCUUCAAAUUAGUUGUUCAUGGUGGUUGUGGUAUUGAUGACAAUGGCAAUCCUGUAAUUACUUGAAAAUGAUGAGGGUGAGAGAGUAAAAAUGUCAUUUUCGAAAAAAGAAAGAAAAGAAAAAUUGAUGGCAUUUUCGUAAAUUAUAUGAACUUGUGGGGUGAAUAGGGCAAAACCAAUUUUCAAAAAAAAAAGAGGUUAGUUUUGUAUUUGACUUUAAGUUAUAGGUCAAUUCUGCAAAAAGCCCAUAAUAUAUUUAUAAUCAAAAUUAAAAGUUUUCUUUAAAAUAUGUGAAACACAAAAAAUACAUUUAAAAAAAAUUAGUGAGUAUUUGAAAGGGGGUCUAUUUGAAAAGAAUAGGUCUCUUGUAUUUAUAAUUUCUAACGAAUAUUUGUAAAACAAACAUGAAAAUAUUGAAUUUAUGUUUAGUAGAUGUUAACGAUAUGGUAACAUAAUAAGAAUAAAUGGAUAAGAACUUUUUUCUUGGACCAUGAUUAACCUGGGUUUUUAGGAUGAGGUUCUUAGUUUCGGCUAAGAACCGUUUCUUAGCUUUUAACUAAAAAAAAAACUAAGAAUUGUCUCUUAAAUAAGAGAUAUAAGAACAUGUUUAUUGCAGUUGCUUAAGUGUAAUUCUUAACUAAUUUGUAAUUAAAAAGAAAAGAAAAAAAACGUAAUUAGGUAAGCAACAAGUCUUAAAUAAAGACUGGAAGAAUCGGCUCUUGAUAGCCACGUGUUUAAGAUGUAUUGGGUUUGUGAUUUUGAGAGGAAAAGAAAAAAGAAAAAAAAACAGGAAAAGAAACAAAACGCCUCUUUCUAUUCAUCGAAGAAGACGAUCGGUGGUCGGCUCCGCGAAGAAUCUGGUGGGUUGAUUUCGACGACGAAGAAUCUCGGUGGUGGUGGCUCUCCCAUUGAAGAAUCUCGUCGGUCUCGUCGACGAAGAGAUGUCCGUUGCUCUCCUCGACGAAGAAUCUCGGUUGCUCUCAGCGACAGCGAGUCUCAGUGGCUCUCCUUUACAAAGAGAAUCGUCGGUUGAUGCUGAGUGUAAUCGAUGAGCAAAGCUAAGUAAUUUUGUUUUUAUUUUUCAAUUCCUCAAUUUUGCAUGUGUUUGAUUUUGGUCCUUCUUGUUCUUUUUUGAUGUUUAGUCAGUAAUCUGAUUUCUUCAAUUGCAGAUUGAAGUUCCAUUGAAGAGACAAUCAUUUAUUCUCUGGAGAGACAAUCUUCUCGGUUCUGUAUACAAUUUUCGUUGUUGAUGGAGAACUUUUGCAAUGUAUUGAUAGUUUCCUUGAUUGUUUGAGUGAAUGUAAAAAAUUUCUACACUGAAAAUCAUGUCUAGGACUUCUUGAUUGUAUUGGUUUAGGUGAUUCUCGUUAGGUGGCUUGGUGUCAUGAUCUAGAAUCUUGAGAAUGAAGAACAUUUUUGAUCAAUUAAAUAUUUUCUUCCUGUGAUUUUUUUUAUUCGUCCAUGUCUUUGUGUCUGAUGGAUAAGGAGACAUGAUAAGGAAACACGAUAAGGAGACAUAAGGAAGGUUAAGAAAGCAAAAGGAUUUCUCAUAACAGUACAUGUAAACGUUUCUCUUUCAUCUUAACAACUGAGCUUAAUGUCUUUUGAUUCUUGUUAGACUUGAAGCGUGUGUAAUAAAUGUUUUGGUUUGGGUUAAAUUACGGUUGUGUUAGUAAUAAAUAGAUGUUAUGGAAGAGGGUGAUAAAUGUGUUAGCUAUAUGUCAAGUCUAUGGGUUAUGAUGAAUGUGUUUAGAAAAUGUCAAGUCCUCUUCCCUCUAUUAAAUGCAUUGCUCCUUCUGUUUUUCUCAUAAACACUUUCUCUUUGAUCUUCUCUUCCAUCUUGUUCUUCUCUUCUCCUCUUGUUCUUAUGUUUCUUCCGUCUUUCACACAUUCAAAUAUGGAUUUUAAUCCAUAUACGAGUGGGUCAAACUUUGUUGAUCUUCUUCAUAGUCAACAAAUUGUUUUUGGUUCAUCAGAAGUUCAUGUAUUUGGAACUCAACAGACCCUGGAUAGCAACCUCGGUGCAGAGAGUCUUGUAGAGCGACGAGAACACAGGAAAUGAACGCUCUCAUAUGACAUUUUGCUCAUCAUCUCAUGGCUUAACACGAGCAAAGAUCCAGUAGUGGGCAAUGAGCAAAGAUUAGGCGCUUUCUGGUCUCGCAUUGCCGCCUACUUUGCGGCAAGCCAGAAGGUUGAAGGCUGCGACAGGAGAGAGCUGAUGCACUGUAAGCAGUGGUGGCAGAAGAUCAACGACAUCAUGUGCAAGUUCUAUGGCUCGUACGAGGCUGCAACCAGGGAGAAGACCGGUGGACAAAAUGAGACAGAUGUUCUCAAAAAAGCGCAUGAGAUCUUCUACAACAACCAUAAAAAGAAGUUUAACCUUGAGCAUGCGUAGAUGAAGUUGCGCAAUGACCAGAAGUGGUGUGAGCUUUCAAGUUCAAAACAUGGUGGAAGCUCAAAAAAGAGGAAGUUGGACGAUGGUGCACAAUCAUCAGCCUCUCACUUGUCUAAAAGCAAGACUUCUGAAGCUGAUGAAGGCAACACUCGUCCACCGGGUGUUAAAGCAUCUAAGGCGCGUGGUAAGAAGACGGUAGAGGGGAAUGGACUGUCUGAGUUUCAGUCAAUGUGAUCCAUUAAACAGCAGGAUCUAGCCAUGAAAGAAAUGUUGUCCAAGAUGUCUCUGCUUGACAGUCUUAUUGCAAAAAAAGAGCCACUGUAUGAGUGCGAAAAAGCUCUAAAGAAGAAGCUGAUUAAUGACUUGUUGGCUGUUUAAGUUUAUGUGUUCUGUGGUCUGUUUAAGUUUAUGUUUGUGUCCUCUGCUUGAGUUCCUUUGUUUGUUGUUUGUUGUCUUGGAGUUUAUGUUUCUGUCGUCGAGUUUAAGUUUAUGUAUGUUGUUCUGUUUCUGACAAUGAAAGUGUCUUGUUUAACUAGUUCUGAUGUUUGUUCUUGUUUGAAAACAAUCUUGUUCUGGCAACAUCUAGGCGUCUAAAUGUUGUUAUGUUUCUUGUUGUUAAAUUUCUUGUUCUUGUCGCAGUUCUUGUUAUGUUUACAAUGUUUUUGUUCUUGUUAAUGCUAACCAGUUCUUGUUCUUGUUAAUGCAUGUGAGAGAAUCAUUAACUGAAAGCUGUUGAGAGCAAAGAUCAGAACAUGAGACAGAGGUUAGGUCAUUGACUGAAAGAUCAGAAGAUCAGAACAUGAGAGAGUAGACGAGAAAGAGGUCAGGUCAUUGACUGAAAGCUGUUGAGAGAGGUCAGAUCAGAAGAUCAGUUUCUUGUCACGCUGUUGUUGUCAUGAGUGGAGAGGUGGUGUCUUGUUUCUUGUCUUGUAGUUGUCACGAUGUUGUUGUUAAUUCUUGUAUUAUUUGCCUCUUGUAUCACGAGUUUUGUAUUUUUGCAUCACAGACACAAGUGUAAUCACACACACAAAAGAAUCUUUGGGUCUUGUUCUAUUAGUUGUCUUUUGUUAUAUUAUUUGCCUCUUGUUUCACGAGUGUGUAAAAUGAAUUGAAAUUAUUUGCCUUUUAUGAAUUGUCUUGUAUUCUCUCAUUUCUCUCAAUUCUCUCCAUAAAAGAAUUCUAUCUCAUGUUCUUGACUCCAUACUUUUUCUAAAACAAUUCUAUUUUGUAUUCUCUCAUCUCUCUCCAUUCUUUUCAUUCUCUUUCUAAAACAAUUCUAUCUCACGGCAUCUUCUUCUCAUAACGAUUUUGAAGACUCGUUUGAUGAAACUUUCGAUCAAUAUUUUGAAUAGACGUUCGAGAAUCUGAUCAUUGAUCAAGAAGAUGAAAGGAGGACAAGAAAAAACGAGUUUUUAUCGAAAAAAAUCGUGAAGAAGACCAUAUGCGUUUAUGAAAUGAUUAUUUCAGUGAAACUCCAACAUAUCUUGGAAAUCUUUUCCGGCGACGAUUUAGAAUGAACAAGCCAUUGUUCAUGCAUAUUGUUGAUCGACUCUCCAAUGAAGUUUCAUUCUUUCGACAAAAAAAAGACGGUCUCGGAAGGCUUGGUCUCUCUACACUUCAAAAGUGUACAACAACUAUUCGUGUGUUGGCAUAUGGUUCUGCGCUUGAUGCGGUCGACGAAUACCUCAGGCUCGGUUCAACCACUACUCUGUUAUGUGUGGAAAAUUUUGUGGAAGCAAAAAUAAAUUUGUUUGGCGAUGAGUACCUAAGACGAUCAACACCGGGUGAUCUUCAGCGUCUACUUCAUAUUGGAGAGCUUCGUGGAUUUUCCAGGAUGAUCGGAAUCAUCGAUUGUAUGCAUUGGGAGUGGAAGAAUUGUCUCACCGCUUGGAAAGGGCAAUAUUCUCGUGGUUCGGGAAAACCCACAAUCGUUUUAGAGGCGGUUGCUUCAUAUGAUCUCUGGAUAUGGCAUACGUUUUUUGGACCUCCAGGUACCUUAAAUGAUAUUAAUGUUCUUGAUCGCUCACCUGUUUUUGAUAACAUAAUAAAUGGUCAAGCCCCGCAAGUGAAUUUCUCGGUCAACGGACGAGAGUACCAUUUGGCUUAUUAUCUCACCGAUGGUAUUUAUCCAAAAUGGGCAACUUUUAUCCAAUCUAUUCCAAUUCCAUAAGGGCCGGAAGCAGUUUUAUUUGCGCAAUGUCAAGAAGCUGUCCGAAAAGAUGUCGAACGUGCUUUCGGAGUCUUGCAAGCUCGAUCUGUCAUUUUUAAAAAUCCAGCACUUUUUGGGGAUAAAGUCAAAAUUGGGCAGAUUAUGAGAGCAUGUAUCAUACUCCAUAAUAUGAUAGUAGAAGACGAACAUAAUGAAUACACUUAAUUUAAUGUUUCGCAUUUCCAACAAGGAGAAGACAGCGGAAGUUCACAUGUCGAUUUCACAUAUUCUACAGAUAUCCCUACAAAUAUCGUCAAUAUGAUGGGUGUUCGAACUAGAAUUCGUGAUAGAUAAGUGCAUCAACAACUGAAAUGUGAUUUGGUUGAACAUAUAUGGCGUAAAUUUGGACGUGAUCAAAACAACAACUGAAGCUUGGAUGCCUCUUUGAAAUUAUUAUCGUUUAUUUUUGUAAUCUUUGUUUUUAUGUUUUUAUUUAAAAAUCUAUGUUUCAAAUGUUUAUGUUUAACUUUGUUUUUUUAAAUAAAUUUUAUCGUCAAUAAAAUAAUGUUUAAUAAAUUUUUUUUAAGAACUCCUAAUUAAGAAACUACCAAUGGAACACUAAAAUUAAGAGUUUCUUAACAAAAGUUCUUAAUUUCACUUUAAUACUAAAAAAAUCACUAAGAGCCCUCUUAGGGGUUGCCCCAAUAAACAUGCUUAAUUGUUUCUUAAGAGCAUGAUUAACUCGGGUUCUUAGGGUGAGGUUCUUAACUCAUGAUUUGACGUUUUUUGUUAUAUAUAUUUUUUUUUUACACUUUUCGACUAAGAACCGGCUCUUAUAUCUAUUUUUUGAAAGCAGGUUUUUAGUUUUUCUUAGUUAAAAGCUAGGAAAUGGUUCUUAACCAAAGCUAAGAACCCCAGCCUAAAAACCCGGAUUAAUCAUGGUCUUAUAUUCCGGUAAGAACUCCACCCAAAGGAUCCUUUACUAAUUAUGAAAAAAAAAAAAAAAAAACUGUCGGUUCUUAGUUUAAUUAAAACAAAAAAAACUGUCAAAUCAAAAAUUAAGAACCUCGAAUUAAUAACAUGAUCGGAAGUAUCCGAGGAGGAAAAAAAAGAAGAUACCCUUUUGCGUGGAAGUAUCCAAUCCUUCCCACCUCUCGUUUCCGCCUGCCUCUUUCUCUCGACUUUUAGUUCUUAAAUAUUAACUAAUUACCGAAUUUCACAUGUGUAAUAUUUGGUUCAAUCUGACCAAAUUUUAGAAAAGUCAGAUAUCUAUUCCGUUUCAAAGCUCUGCUACGUUGUGGAAUUGUAUAUUUUUGUUUGUAGUUUUCUGUAUCUAUGUUUAGUUACUAGAAAACAUAUAAAUAAUCAAAUCAAAACAAAAUGAAAAAAGAAAAACAGCAGCUAAAAUUGUAAGAUCCACUUAAGCCGUAAAAUAAGCUUUCAAAUACCCCUUUGACAUCGAUUACUUCCAUUGCACUUACUUGCUUCCAUGUUACCAUUAUUCUCCUAUGUGUUUCUUUAUUAUUUAAAUAUUUUAUAAUAAAAUUAAAGAUGUUAAUUUAAUGUGCGUGGUGUGCGCAAGUGAAUUAAAGAAGCCAACUUCCUAGUUCCAAAGCCCUUUAUGAAAAGAAAAAAAAAAUUCCUGGUUCCACUUUCUCCUUAAUCUUCUUUUCAUAUCUCCUAUAUAUACCUCAGUUUCCUACACACUUUCUCCGGUUCCACAUCAUCUUCUCUGUAUAUCUACUCUCCUUAUUUAAUCUUCUUCUACACACACACACGCAGCCACAUGUACAUGUAAAGCAGAUACUGAGAUCAAUAUCGUUAUCAAUGAAUUUACCACCGGGAUUCAGAUUCUUUCCCACGGACGAAGAGCUCGUCGUCCACUUCCUCCACCGCAGAGCUUCACUCUUGCCUUGUCAUCCUGACGUCAUCCCUGAUCUCGAUCUUUACCCUUACGAUCCUUGGGACCUUCCCGGUAUGUACACUCACAUGCAUAUCUGAUAUCCCUCUCCAUAUACGUAUCAUGCAACAUAUUUAUAAUUGAAAGCCUUUUUUACGAAUUUUUUUUUUUUAUAAUUGACUCUAUCUAUGUAUGCAUGCAUGCAUGUGAGUGUGUAUCAUGUAUGUUAUAUGUUUAGUUGACAAUAUGUUGAUCGUUGUCACCAAGUCACCAACUUAAGUAACUAAUCUGUCUUUUCUUUAGCAGUAGACUUUUGUUGGGUUGCUCUUUUUAAGGAUUGUUUUUGUUUUCAAAAUCUUACCAUACACACAAAUACCAAUAAUGCCAAUCUCUACCUGAUAAGUUUCCUUUUAAUUCUUUUGGAAGGAAUCUAUUAAUUGGUGAACUGUAAUUAUUAAUAUUGCUUUCUUCAUAUUCAUACAUACGCACCGAUUUAAUCAUUCAAUCUCAUGAUACACAAACACAAUCAAUCAUAUACACACCAAAACAUGUACGUGGACAUAUAUAACAACAAAUACACAUGUAAUUAAUAUACUACGUACUGACAAUUUAUCUUCUUUUUUUGGCUAAACUUUGGUACUGACAAUUUUUCUUACACUAACUUUGUUUACGUAUGAUUAUAGGGAAAGCUUUGGGAGAAGGGAGGCAAUGGUACUUCUACAGUAGAAAGACGCAAGAAAGAGUGACAAGCAAUGGGUAUUGGGAAUCAAUGGGAAUAGACGAGCCAGUUUUCACAAGCUCCACACACAAGAGAGUGGGUAUAAAAAAGUAUCUGACUUUCUAUCUCGGGGAUUCUCAGAGUAACUGGGUCAUGCAAGAAUAUUCUCUCCCAGAUUCCUCUUCUUCAUCUGGUCGAUCUUCUAAGAGAUCAAGCCGUGGUUCUACUAGUUCUAGUCAUAAACCAGUAAGCUCCCUAUAUUGUUUCAUAAGCUAACAUAAACUUAGGACCGGUCAUAAACUUAAGCAAGUGAAACAUUGACUUAUUGUGCCAAAAAAUUUAAAAUAAUUUAAAUAAACAUAAACCUUAGAAUUUGUAAAACAAAACUAUAUCUAGACAUAUAAAAUUCUUAAUAAACUGGUUAAAGCUCCCAAAAUUUCAGGGUCGAUCUUGCUUUAAUUUUAAGUUUUCUAGUUAACAAAAUUGAUCUCCACGUGGCAUGGAUAUUUGUUAACAGGAUUAUAGCAAGUGGGUAAUAUGCAGAGUGUAUGAACAAAAUUCCAGUGAAGAAGAGGAUGAUGAUGGGGCAGAACUCUCAUGUUUGGAUGAAGUGUUUUUGUCUUUAGAUGAUCUUGACGAAGUAAGCUUACCGUAAUGAGGACAGAAGCACCCAAAAAGAAAAGGUUUAGUGGGCAAUUAUUUCUAAAAUCUUUGUAUCAAAAAGAAAAAAAUGGAAAAGGAGAAUGAGAAUGACAUCAUUCUUACAAGUUAUGUGUUGUAAGAUUAGUAAUCCCAAUUUGCAAGCAAGAAGCAAAACAAAAGGGAAGAAUAUCUAGUCUUGUUGUAUUUUUUUUAAUAAAUAUUCAAAUAUAUGUACACUUCAAUACUGAAUUAGUUCCCCGAAUUCGCCCUAUAGUGAGUCGUAUUACAAUUCACUGGCCGUCGUUUUACAACGUCGUGACUGGGAAAACCCUGGCGUUACCCAACUUAAUCGCCUUGCAGCACAUCAAUAUUCAAAUAUAUGUACACUUCAAUACUGAAUUAGUUCCCCGAAUUCCCUAGUAUUCCAAAAAGAAAAAUACUGAAUUAGUUAUCUUUGAUUUGAAUUAAUAAUUCUCCUUACGAUAACCACAACAAUAAUUCACGAAAAUAUGUUAUAUGAACCAAUGAAACAAUAUGGUGAAAAUAAAUAAUAGAUUUAUGGUCAGUUCAAUCACAACCCUUAAGUUAUUGGUUACUGUAGAUUACCAAUACAAUUUAAAUUAAUAUAUAUAUAUAUCGUCUUUUUGCCUAAUAUACCUAAGGUUAGGAGGAAAGCCUCAUCUACUAGUUUGGGAUGAAUUUGCAGCAUACUUUGCAUCAUUUGAACAAUAUUAUAACUUUUUUAUCAAAAAACAAUAUUAUAACUUAAAUAUAUUUUUACUGGUAGAAACGAUUAGAGUUUUGACUAACAAGAUCCAAAGCAUUAGAACGUUUUUGUAUUAAGAAGUGGGAAAUAGUAAUGAUUAUGUUACCNNNNNNNNNNNNNNNNNNNNNNNNNNNNNNNNNNNNNNNNNNNNNNNNNNNNNNNNNNNNNNNNNNNNNNNNNNNNNNNNNNNNNNNNNNNNNNNNNNNNNNNNNNNNNNNNNNNNNNNNNNNNNNNNNNNNNNNNNNNNNNNNNNNNNNNNNNNNNNNNNNNNNNNNNNNNNNNNNNNNNNNNNNNNNNNNNNNNNNNNNNNNNNNNNNNNNNNNNNNNNNNNNNNNNNNNNNNNNNNNNNNNNNNNNNNNNNNNNNNNNNNNNNNNNNNNNNNNNNNNNNNNNNNNNNNNNNNNNNNNNNNNNNNNNNNNNNNNNNNNNNNNNNNNNNNNNNNNNNNNNNNNNNNNNNNNNNNNNNNNNNNNNNNNNNNNNNNNNNNNNNNNNNNNNNNNNNNNNNNNNNNNNNNNNNNNNNNNNNNNNNNNNNNNNNNNNNNNNNNNNNNNNNNNNNNNNNNNNNNNNNNNNNNNNNNNNNNNNNNNNNNNNNNNNNNNNNNNNNNNNNNNNNNNNNNNNNNNNNNNNNNNNNNNNNNNNNNNNNNNNNNNNNNNNNNNNNNNNNNNNNNNNNNNNNNNNNNNNNNNNNNNNNNNNNNNNNNNNNNNNNNNNNNNNNNNNNNNNNNNNNNNNNNNNNNNNNNNNNNNNNNNNNNNNNNNNNNNNNNNNNNNNNNNNNNNNNNNNNNNNNNNNNNNNNNNNNNNNNNNNNNNNNNNNNNNNNNNNNNNNNNNNNNNNNNNNNNNNNNNNNNNNNNNNNNNNNNNNNNNNNNNNNNNNNNNNNNNNNNNNNNNNNNNNNNNNNNNNNNNNNNNNNNNNNNNNNNNNNNNNNNNNNNNNNNNNNNNNNNNNNNNNNNNNNNNNNNNNNNNNNNNNNNNNNNNNNNNNNNNNNNNNNNNNNNNNNNNNNNNNNNNNNNNNNNNNNNNNNNNNNNNNNNNNNNNNNNNNNNNNNNNNNNNNNNNNNNNNNNNNNNNNNNNNNNNNNNNNNNNNNNNNNNNNNNNNNNNNNNNNNNNNNNNNNNNNNNNNNNNNNNNNNNNNNNNNNNNNNNNNNNNNNNNNNNNNNNNNNNNNNNNNNNNNNNNNNNNNNNNNNNNNNNNNNNNNNNNNNNNNNNNNNNNNNNNNNNNNNNNNNNNNNNNNNNNNNNNNNNNNNNNNNNNNNNNNNNNNNNNNNNNNNNNNNNNNNNNNNNNNNNNNNNNNNNNNNNNNNNNNNNNNNNNNNNNNNNNNNNNNNNNNNNNNNNNNNNNNNNNNNNNNNNNNNNNNNNNNNNNNNNNNNNNNNNNNNNNNNNNNNNNNNNNNNNNNNNNNNNNNNNNNNNNNNNNNNNNNNNNNNNNNNNNNNNNNNNNNNNNNNNNNNNNNNNNNNNNNNNNNNNNNNNNNNNNNNNNNNNNNNNNNNNNNNNNNNNNNNNNNNNNNNNNNNNNNNNNNNNNNNNNNNNNNNNNNNNNNNNNNNNNNNNNNNNNNNNNNNNNNNNNNNNNNNNNNNNNNNNNNNNNNNNNNNNNNNUAGAAUACCCGGAGAUAAGGUUUCAAGAGUUUGUUAACACCAAAGCUCUAAGUAUAUUAAUCAAUAAUACAAAAGUUGUAUCUCUCACAAAGCCGAGAAGAUACUAUAUAUAAGUAAAUCAAAUUCCUAAACUUAAAGAGAUUAGAUCAAUUGAUCUUUAUCUAAAACAUAAAAGGAAACAAGGAAAUAAAACCAAAACAGAGUAGGAGUAGGAUGUACGCUACAUCAGGCCUCCCCCCGUAAGCUCAUCCUCAGCCGGCUCAAACUUGAACAGGUGUUUGACGUUAAACACAUCAGCCGUGUGCACAUGAGGCGGAAGAAGAAGACGAUAGGCAUUAGCAUUUAUCUUCUCAACAAUCUCCACUGGUCCAAUCUUCCUAUGCUUCAACUUGUUGUAUGCCCCGACCGGAAACCGUUCCUUCGUGAGAAUGGCCCAGACAAAGUCGCCUACUUCAAAAUGUAGCUCGCGACGGCGUUUAUCAGCAGCUCGCUUAUACUUAAGAGUAGUACCGGCCAGAUUAUCGCUAGCACGAGCGUGAAUACUCGUCAGUUCAUCGACCAGUUCCUGCGCUCUCCCAUGAAACUCGCCUGGCUGUGGCACCGUUGUUAAACCUAACGGACCGCGCGGAGUCACACCAUACACAACUUUGAAAGGUCUAUACCCAAGGCUGCGAUUGUGAGCAUGGUUAUGAGCAAAUUCAGCCUGACAUAACACCGAAUCCCAUGACCGUAAGUUAUCACCCACCAAGCAACGUAACAUAUUGCCCAGACUACGAUUAACAACCUCUGUUUGUCCAUCGGAUUGGGGAUGAAAAGCAGAACUUAUGUCUAAACUUGUUUUAAAAAGUUUCCACAGAGAACGCCAAAAGUGGCUAAUGAAACGUGAAUCUCUGUCUGAGAUGAUAGACACCGGAAGGCCAUGUAGCCGAUAGAUCUCGCGAAAGAAAAGGGACGCCACUUGCACCGAAUCCGUGGUCUUCUUACACGGCAAAAAGUGAGCCAUCUUUGAAAAGUGAUCAACCACAACAAAAAUAGAAUCUUUGCCGCGUUGCGUACGAGGAAGCCCAAGGACAAAGUCCAUGCUUAUAUCACUCCACGGUUGCGUCGGUAUUGGAAGUGGAAGAUAGAGACCCGCGUUGGUCGCAUGACCUUUCCCACGCUGACAAGUAGCACAACGAGUCACAAAUCGUUCGACAUCUCGCCGCAAAGUUGGCCAAAAGUACGAAUCUGUAACAAGUUUCAAAGUUCGAUCCCGCCCAAUGUGCCCUUCGCCAUGUAACUCUUUGACCAGUUGCAAUCGCAGACUGCACUCCGGGACACAAAGGCAAUUGUCCUUAAAGAGGAAACCAUCCACUAAAGAGAAAUCAGACCGUUUACUAAGCGCAAGAUCUUGCCAGACAGCCGCAAAGUAUGAAUCAGUCGCGUACAAGUCUGCGUGGACGGAGACGCUGAGCGUGGCGACCAAGGAAUGCUGGCUACUUAACGUGUCUGCCACUUUAUUAAGUUUUCCGGACUGGUGCUUGAUAACAAAAGUGAACUGUUGUAAAUAAGCUGUCCAGGAAGCAUGUCGAGAAGAGAUUUUAUCCUGAGUGCCCAAGUACUUUAGUGCCACAUGAUCGGUAAACAAGACGAACUCCUUGUGAGUAAGGUAGUGACAUUAAUGCUUGAUGGCUUGGACGAUUGCAUAGAACUCUAUAUCAUAGGUGCUAGGCGUGGGCGUUUUAUACUGUAACCGAAGCCCAAAGUGGAACCCGAACCGAAGUCUCGGUAUUGGACCGGUAACGGGCCUUAGCAAAAAACCGAAUGGAUUUUGUAGCCCACGAAUUUCGGUUAUGGUCUGGUUCGGUUGAAAACUGAAAUCAAAACAAGUAACCGAACAAUACCGAGCAUUUAUAAAACUGUAUCAUGUAUACAUACAUUCAUUUACACUUAUACACGCGAAAGAAAACAGUCUCUUCGUUUCUUGUACGCGUGAGCCGACGAACCCUAAUUCCCAAAAAAAAAAUCUCUCGAUAAUUAAUUAUCAUCACUCAAAAGCUCAAACUGGCCUCUAUAAAUCAGUUAGCUUCUCCAUCUUCUUCUUCUUCAUCCAAGCAUUCCAGAAUCCAGUCACAGGUAUUGUCUCUCUUUGAUUAUUGUCUGUCUCUUUUUUCGAUUCCUUAGUGAAUUAAGUCAAAUCGAUUAUAAUUAUGGUUCGUAAUCGUUAUGGAACAUAUGAAUUUGUGUUUGGUUUUUCAUGUCUACUUAAUUGAUUUUUGUGUUUGUGUCUACUCUAAUUGAUUUUGAUAUUUUGCUUACUUUCGUUUUGCAGAUGGAUUCUACAUCAUCUUUUAACCGAGAAACCGACAACAUGGAUGAUGCAGGCAACAUUCAAACACCGGAUAGUAUUACCGGCAAGAGAAAAGAAACCGAGAGAGCGAGUGGAGCGACAAACAAUGUGAAGCGCAUUCUCCCAACAAGGUCCAAAGUGUGGGAACACUACACAAGAACGAAGGAAGAUCGAAACAAGUGUGUAUGCAACUACUGCCAGAACACAUUUUCCUGUCUCACAAGCUCAGGGACCUCAAAUCUUAAGAGCCAUCUUGAGAAAUGCAAGAGUCAUCUUGCUUGGUCGGAUGGACAAGAAGAUAAGCAGCCAACCAUUGACGAUGCAGGGAAACUUAAGAAAGCAAAGUUGACUGAAGCUCAGUUGAGAGAAGCCACAAAUCAGAUGAUUGUCUUAGGACAAUUGCCGUUGUCAUUUGUUGAAAGUGUAGCUUGGAGACAUUUCUGUAACAAGGUACUUGUGUUUUUUUUCUCAUGUUCUUUGCCCGUCAAUUAUAUUUUUUGUUCAUGUUAAAUUGUAACUAAUAUCUUAUCUCUUCUAUGUUUGUAGGUUAACUUUGGAUACACUCCUCAUUCAAGAAGAACUGGAACUAAAGACAUUAUCAAGAUGUAUGUGGAAAGGAAAGAAGCACUCAAGAAAUAGUUCUUGUCUAACAAUCAACGAGUAUCUUUGACAACAGAUAUUUGGGUCUCCCCAACUACAGGUAAUCUGUUACACAUUUUCUGAUUCUUUAUACACAUUUUUGAUUCGUUUAUACAUCAUGGAGUUCUUACUGGUUAUUGUAUAUAGGUGCGAGUUACAUGGUCAUCACAGUGCACUAUGUUGAUGCUUCUUGGCGGUUGAAGAAGCUGAUCAUUGGGUUCAAACACAUCACAGAUCACAAAGGUCAGACUAUAUCAAAUGUUCUACUCGAGUGCUUGUCUGACUGGGGAAUCAUAAAUGUUUUCUGUAUAACUGUUGAUAAUGCGACUGCCAAUAGUUCAGCGUUGAGGAAGUUUCAGAGUAGUUUUGCUUUAGGUUCUGAUCAGGCUUUUGUGUUAGAUGGAGAGUUUUUACACAUGAGAUGCAGUGCCCAUAUCAUUAACUUGAUAGUUAGAGAUGGAAUGGCUGAAAUAGAUCAGAGUGUAGUUGCUAUCCGUAAUGCUGUCUCUUAUCUUAGAUCACAUACUAACAAGUUGAGAUCUUUUGAGCUAAAAGUUGACUCCGGUAAGAUUACAAGGGGAAGUCUUCCGUUGGAUGUGAAGACAAGGUGGAAUUCAACUUAUCUAAUGUUGACAACAGCUCAAAAGUUCAAGGUGGCUUUCGAUAAGAUGGAAGCAGAAGACAGGCUCUACAAUGAUCACUUCUCUGAGUUUGAAAAUGGAGCAUCAAGGGUCGGGCCUCCUCAGCAAAGGGAUUGGAGUGCUGUUGAGAAGUUAUGUCAAUUUCUUAUCAUCUUCUACAACUCGACACUGGUGGUCUCGGCUUCAACUUCACUCAAUUCACAUAAGUGCUAUGGUGAGAUUGUAACCAUUGCGACUAAUCUAUUAGAACUCUCCAGCAGCCCUGAUUCUGAGAUGAGGUCUAAGGCGUCAGAUAUGCUCAAGAAGUUUGAGAAGUAUUGGGAUGGUAUGAAAAAUAUUAACAUGAUGUUAAUUGUGGCCACUGUUUUCGACCCCAGCAACAAGUUGGAGCUUGCCAAGAUGUGUUUUGAAGAGUUAUAUGGGCUAGAGACUACUGAGUAUAAGGAGAUGUAUGACUCCUUGAUUUGUGUCUUGAGGAGUUUGUUCAGAGAGUACAGUUCAAGACAUGGAGCCGCUGGAGCCGCGCUUAAUCCAAGUGACCAAUCUUCCCAGUCUAACAACUCAAGUAAGUCUAGAGACCAAUGUAUUGAAAGGAUGGAUCUUGUGGACGACUGUGUGGGUUAUAAACGAAUGGACGUCAGGUACAAGCAGAAACUCAACGAAAUAGGGGUUAGAGAAAAGAAGGAUGAGCUGGAAACAUACCUCAAAGAGUCUGUGGAACAUCCUGACCUGAUGAUUGGAAUGGAGUAUGAUGUGCUCUCAUGGUGGAAAAAGAACUCAGCUAAGUAUCCUAUCUUGUCUUCGGUUGCUCGGGAUGUCUUGGCUUUACAAGUCUCGUCAGUUGCUUCAGAGAGUGCCUUUAGUACAUCUGGUCGGCUUCUCGAACCACACCGGAGCUCUCUCACCCAUUACAUGGUGGAGGUUUUAAUGUGCACAGAGCAGUGGUUGAAGCAAGACAUAAAGAUGGAGUCAAGAGUGCUUUCAAAUGCUCAGAUACUAGCUGAUCUUGAAGAAGUGGACAUGCUUGAAAGAGGUAAUAAUAUCAUAUACUUUCAAUCUUCUUUUCUUAUCAUAUGAAUGUUCAGUUUUAAAUUAGUAAUCGGUUUUGAACUUUGUGUUUGCAGAGUGUGGAGACACAAUAGUUCCAGAAGAAGACUAAGGCUUUGUUGCUGCUUAAGAAGAUCAUGGCUAUGUGAACACUUUGUUUCUUUGUUUCGGUUUGAGGUUUAUGCUUUUUUUUUUUGCAAUUUGAUCACUUUCUUUCGGCUUGAAUGUUGGUUUUAAGUUUAGACACAAAUUGUCUUGUUUUGUUGUGUCUAAAAAUUUUCAGUUGGGUUUUGGUGUGUUUGAACUCGUUUUGUUUCAAUGAAAUUUUCGGAUGUUCGGUUUAGUUUGGUGUAUUUCGGUUUGUUUGGUUAUUUAUGAUUGAAUUUGGUUGUUACAAACCGAAACCGCACCAGAUCCAAAGUGUUAUCGGUUUGUAGCGGAUUUUGCCUGCUUCAUCCGAACCGAUCCGAAACCGGUUGAUUCCGAACCGAAACCAUACCGAAUUAUAGAAAAAACCGAAUGGUACUUGUACACUAUGAACCGAAAGUCCGAAAAACCGAUUCAACCGAACCGAAACCGAACGGUGGACCGAACGCCCAGGCCUAAUAGGUGCUGUAACGAGCCCGAGCACCGGCCAAAUUAUCACUAUAGUACGCGACUGGCCGCCCAUGUUGACUCAAAACCGCGCCGAUACCUAGCUUCGAAGCAUCACAAUGCAACUCAAAAGGAGAAUCGAAAUCAGGCAGUACCAAUAUGGGAGCAGUCGUGAGUUUGUCUUUGAUUACUGCGAAUGCUGCAUCUGCUUCCGAGGUCCAAGCAAACGACGUUUGCUUCAUGCAAUCGGUAAUAGGAUCCAUGAGAGCACUGAAGUUAUGAACAAAACGCCUAUAGAAUGAAGCGAGGCCAUGAAAGCUUCUGACCUCUGUGAUAGUUAUUGGCGUUGGCCAUGAGACUACAGCCUCGACUUUCUGGGGAUCGACUCUCAAUCCUGCCGCGGAAACGACGUAACCAAGAAACAAUACUUCAGAAGCACCAAACUCGCACUUUUGCUUUGCGAUAUAUAAGUUUUCUUUACGCAAGGCAAGUAGCACGUCACGUAGGUGAGAAAGGUGAUCGUUGAGUGUGUUGCUGAAGAUGAGGAUAUCAUCAAAAUACACCACGACAAAACGUCCAAUGAAUGGCCGUAGAGCUUGAUUCAUUACUCGCAUGAAAGUACUUGGAGCAUUAGAAAAUCCAAACGGCAUUACUAGCCACUCGAAAAGUCCUUCGCGAGUUUUGAAAGUUGUCUUCCAUUCGUCUCCUGGUCGAAUUCGAAUCUGAUGAUAACCACUUUUAAGGUCUAAUUUGGUAAAAAUAGCCGCUUUCCCUNNNNNNNNNNNNNNNNNNNNNNNNNNNNUUCCCUACUUGAUCAAGGAGAUCAUCCAACUGAGGUAUGGGAAACCUGUACCGUGUAGUUAUUUUAUUGAUAGCUCGGCUAUCAACACACAUGCGCCACGACCGGUCCUUCUUUGGAAUAAGCAACGCUGGAACCGCGUACGGGCUUAAGCUCUCACGAACAUAACCCUUGAUCAGUAAGUCUUCAACUUGUCGUCGAAGUUCUUCGUGCUCCUCCGGACUCAUACGAUAAUGUGCUCGAUUCGGUAGGACGGCGUUUGGUACGAGGUCAAUAUGAUGUUGUAUGUCCCUCAAUGGGGGUAAAACUGCUGGCAAUUCAUCCGGAAAGAGAUCCUCGAACUCUUGUAGGAUUGGUGAAAAUGCCGGUGGGCAAGGGGUUGGGUGGGACGGCGUUGGGUUAGCCGCGACCAAAGCAAAUAGUGGUCGGGUGUCUUGAAGCUCCUGUUCGAACUGGGACUUCGAUAUGAUUAACAAAUUCUGUUUUGAAAUUGUUGUUGGUGUCGCGGGUUAGUUGCUCGUAUGAUCAGUGUCUGGCGAUGGAAGUAGUGUGAUCUUGCGGCCUUCGAACAUAAAAGAAUUGGUAUUUGUCUUGCCGUUGUGGAUCACUUCGCGAUCAAAUUGCCAAGGGCGACCGAGGAUAAUAUGAGAUACGUCCAUAGGAGCGAUAUCACAAUAUAAAUCAUCCUUGUAGAAUGAACCAAUGGAGAGAGACAGCAGAGUUCGUUUGGAAACGAAAACCUCAGCCCCCGUUUGCAUCCAUAGGAGGCGGUAUGGGUGUGGGUGUGGGUGUGGUUCGGGUUUAAGGGCGAGCUUACGAACGGCUUUUUCAGAAACCACGUUUGCCGAGCACCCAGAGUCAAUCACAAAGCGACAUAUCUUGCCCUUGACUGUACAGGUUGAGCUAAAUAAAGAGGUUCGUUGCCAUGCUUCAUCUGUCUUCGGAGCGAGACAGUUGCGGCGGAGCAUGAGAAACGUUCCCGUAUCGCCAUGUAUCGGUGGAACAGAACAUCGUUGUUAUCAAGGUAUGGUGGUUUUGAAAAUUUCCAUGGAGUGAAAACUGUGAAUCCCUAUCUUGCUUGCAUGUGAAUAAAGUUUCAUUUCUCAUCUUUAGGCUAAUCAUGACUACAAAGGUGUUUGCCAUGUUGCGUUUGCACAAGAAGGUCAUUGCAGGCCAGGAGAGGUAACAAUCUCUCUCGCUGGAUAUGAUUGGCUUUGUUUGGUUUGGUUCGGUUCUAUAUGUUGUUGUUGUUACGAUUAAUAUUUUUUUCCUUACGAUAGGUUUGGUUAAGAACAGACUCACACGCAUGUACUGCUGGAGCAUUUCAUCAGUUUGCUAAGGGAUUGGAAACACUGAUGCAGGCUUUGUGUUAGGCACUGGACAAAUCCUUCUCAAGGUUUGUUAAGAAAAGUUUAUUUUUUUUAAGAAACCCAAAUUAAGAAACUACCAUUGUAGCUCAAAAAUUAAGUUAAAAUUUAUUAGUUAAAUAAUUAUUAAAGUGUAUUUAAAAAACCUUAUAAGUUUUUAGGGAUAAUCAAAUUAAGUUCUUUAUUACCAAACGCAAGGAUAAACGUGGAUGACCGCAUCAAGACAUGUUACUAAUCCCGAAACCUUAAGCAAACUUCAAUAUUGUAUGUAAUAAAGAACACUACAAAUAAUACAAUAUAGAAUAAUAUAACUAUUAAUUUAUCUUUAAGAAACAAAUGUCAAACCAUAGAGUAACAUCAUUUUUUUCUGAAGAAAAGGUACUAACAUCAUUUUCUCCCUUUCUUUUAUUGCUAAGACGGCCGAAUGAGAUAAUAACUGAACAAAAACUACAAUUUCACAAAACUGGACGACUGCUAAAAAGUAUAAAAUGGUACCAUUCUAUCGUUUUGGGGAUUACUAAUCAGACUUUUAAAUAAUAUUCUAGUCGUAUACUAUUGAUCGCAUAUGUAUUAAUACAAAGAUAUUCUUUUUUGUCAACUUACAAAGAGUUAUUCAUUUAUACAUUUUAGUUGAUUUAUAAUUUUAAAUUUAACAAAUAGAUUUUUGAUUAGUAUUUGCAAAUCCAUAUGAUUUCUUUCAGGUUUAUGUUUUUUUUUUUUUGUAUUUUUAACAUAGUGAUGUAUAAAACCAAGAAACCUAAGAUGUCAUUUUCCUUGUUAACCACUAUAUGCAACCACUCCAUACUUCCAUUCCGUGACAACCUAGAAAACUAAAACACAUCUGUAUUAUAAGAAUAUUAACAUCAUUAAGCGUUGUCCAAAAAAAUAACAUCAUUAAGCCAGCUAAUUGCAUUUCUUAUGAUUCAAUGGGACAUCUCAGACUCUUUUCCUCCGUAUAUAUAGGAUAUGACCUCAUAUAUAUGAUGAUAAAACGCACGUUUCAUUUGACAUCUUAUAAAACUAUACAAGUAGUUUAACACCUUCAAACUAAGAACAAUCACAAUUCAUCCAUAGUGUUGCUCCCUAUAUAGAGUUCUGAAGAUGGCACAAUAAUGGCCGGGGGCGAAGCUACCUUUGUGGGUGGAUGGGACAGGUGCCCACUAUAAAAAAAUUAUUGUAAUUUUGUACCAAAUUUUGAAAAUGCCCCUGAUAAAAAUUUAAAUUUAUAAAUGUAUGUAAUAGUAUUUUUUUAAAAAUUUCCCUGGAUGAAUUGUUCAGAUCCUGGCGGCAUGAAUCGCUCUGUCCUCUUUAUGCUACAUGUUGUAACACCUAGCAGAAAGACAGAAACCAAUAACCAUGCAUGAAAAUAUUAGUGUUGGAAUAUAAUAUUUAACGUUUGAAUAGCACGGAAAUUGUCACCAAACAAGAAUUCUACAAAGAAAAAAUUCCAUACAAAAUCACCUAGAAAAUAUUGUUUAGUGACGAAAGGUUCCAAACGCAUAUAUAUAAUAAGGUCAACCUGUGCCGUCUCACUAAGAUUGAAAAAAAGAUCGUCAAGGUGAAGGUUGGCAAAAGCAGAUUAGUAACCUUAAUUUUUUUUUACCAUACUAUAAACUGACUCUAAACAAAUAAGUCUAGUUAGAUGUUGAAUUAUGUAUUUUAAACCAAAAUUUAGACUAGAAGUUCGAACGUAUUUUUUGAAUAGUGAGUUAGGGGGUGAUGAUUAAUGAAUAAUUUAGGGACAAAAUAAGUUGUAAAUAUCGUUUAUAUUAGAAGUAAAUUGAUAUCAAAAGAGAUUACAAAUGUGAAGUGAGUUAAAUGUUAGAAUCGAGCUCGCUAUACAAUAAGAGUCGAGGUCGAUAAGUUAUCUUCCCAAAAAAAUCAUUCAUUUGCUCAGUCAAUAGAGCUCUACUUUUAUAGUUGCGGGAUAAUUCGGAUGGGACAAGGAAGACAGCUCGUUGUCCUUAUUGAUGAAGUCACAUAUUUGAUUCUCUAUCAGGUGAGGUCACAAAUUCUUUGUGAUGCGGAUGCAGCUUGCUUUGUCACCAUGCAUCAAACGCAGGUCAAACUGUAUCAUCCGUACUCGUUGAGUGAGUCAACACACUCUUUUUCGAGCAUGGAUGUGAAGUCGUCAUGUCAAUUUCAUCGUCCUCUUUUGUCUAUUAACGAAUUAGGUUUCCGUUAUUCUUGCUCUCUUCAAAUUCAAUCCUCUCUUUUUAGAACUGGGCCGAACAUUAGCGGGAUGCGACACCCAUCUUCAAUAGUAUUUAUUUCAAAAAAAAAUACAAGAUUUGUAAACAGCGUUGCAUUUAAAGUAGAUUGAAUGUAAAAUAUAACAGAUUUCUCCUUAAUCUUUUUUUUUUUUUUUUUUUUUUUUUUUCUUUUUUUAACAGAUUUCUCCUUAAUUUUUUUUUUUUUUUUUUUUUUUUGACAGCUUCUCCUUAAUCAUUUUAAGAAGUCCAAACUUAGGGGGUGCUGUUGGCAUAAGAAUGUUUAUAAAAUAAAAAAUUUGAGAUUCCAUUGUUAUUAAUAGACGAAUUCUUUAAAAAAAAUUAGCAUAGUACAUUAUUAUUGGUUUGAGGAUUUUAAAAUUCAUCUAAAUGUUUUUGUUUUUAUACAUCAUUCAUUUCAAUCUUUUGUUAUUCAAAACAAAAGUGUAGUUAUAGUUGAUUCUAUAUUUUUAACUAACUCCAUUGUUAGUGGGAAAUGAAUUCUCUACAUUUUAUUUAUAAACGCACAACUACUUUCAAAAUUUCAUAUAUAUAUAUAUAUAUAUAUAUAUAUAUAUGAGAUUUUCAAUACUAUGUAAUAAAAAAUUAAAAAAAAACAGAGUAACUAUUGUUAGCAAAGAUAUAAUUAAUCAUAUUUUAUAUUUUAUUAUAACAUUAUAUUUUAAAGGUGUUUUAACGAUUAAAUACAAUGACAAUUUGCUGAAUAUUCAUAAGGAGCACUAAAAUGAAGAAUAUAGCAAUUCUACAGCAAAAGCCCAUCGAUGUGACAAGUUCACCUAAAAUUGCCCGUAAUAAUCUCCGAAGCGCGUAUACGUGCAAAUGACUCCAACGCACAUGCUUUACUAUACUAUAUAAAAUGUAAUAUAGUCUCAAAAGACAACCCUUAAACCCUAAACCCAAACCGUAUACCUUAAACCCAAACCCUAAACCCAACUUCUUAACUCAAACCGUAAACCAUAACGGAGCUACCUAAACCCUAAACAAAAACUGUAAACCAUAAACCCAAACCCUAAACACAAAUUCUUAACCCAAACCAUAGACUCAAACGGAGCUACCUAAACCUUAAACCCUAAACCCCCUAAACCCAAAUUCUAAACCCUAACCUAAACCCUAACCUUGAAGGUCUAAACCCAAACCGUAAACCCUAAACCCAAACCCUAAAUCCUAAAUCCCCUAAACCCAAACUCUAAACUCUAAACUCAAACUGUAAACCCUUAACCCAAACCCUAAACCCAAAUUGUAAAACCAAACCAUCGCCCAUAACGGAGCUACCUAAACUCUAACCUUGAAGGUCUAAAAUAUACUAUAUUUCAUUUAGAAUAGUAUGGCAAUUGAUGAUAGUUACUAUAUUGAUGAUUGGGAAAAGGAGGAAAAUGGAUAGGUGAGGAACAGGAGGGGAGGAGGAGGAGGAAGGAGGAAGGAGGAAAGAUAGAAGUAUGGAGGAAAGGAAGGACGAAUAGAGAGAAAGACAGAGAGAGAUCGGGGAAGGGAGGGGAGGAGAGAAAGAGUAGGAGGGAGUGUAAGAGUGAAAGCGACAUAAGAAGAAACUAUACUAUUUUGAUGAAUAGAUUAGUAUACUAUAAUGUAAUGUUUAUUCAAAUAUUGUAUGAAAGCUAUAUAAACUGUCAAUACAAACAUGUAUGUGAAUCUCCAUUAACUUAGAACAUUCAUUCAACACAAUAGAAAAAUAAUACCAUUUAUAAAGCAUGAAAUUUCAAAACGCAAAUACACAUUACCACUCAAUGUAUAAAUUAGGUGAAAGCUAUAUAUUAGCGACAAUAGUGAAGGAUAAGACAACAAAGCUGAUGGAGUAGUGAAGGAGAAGAAUCAUAAGGCGAAUGAGAUACACUUUGCCGAAGAGGAGGAGAAGAAUUGUAACAUACUAUACUGUAAUUAUAAAAUAGAAUAGAGUACAUUGCACAACAUUACUGUUCAUCUUCCCCAAUUCAAUCCAUCGUCAGUUUUCACUAUCUCCAAUCCAACAAACCAGACACCUGACAUGUAUAAUCACCCACAGAUACAAGACGAGAUCAGUUUGAAACUUAGACUAUAUACCCAAAUGCUAUGAAAUCAAAUCAAACUUACCUUGAUUUGUUGGGUUUGGAAACUCAAUUGUGCCGCCGUAAAAUUGAAAAAAACCACUGAAACCCUAACUCUCAAUAUCCUACUUAUGCCGCACGACCGAAACCACGCACCCUCUUCAAAUCUCCCUUCUUCGCUGUAUGCAAGAGUUUGUAAAGUAGAAACAAUUUUUCAACUUGCAAGAUAAUGACACUCAUUGAUGUCUACGCGCGCAGAAAAGGAUAUUUUUGGCACUUUACACAACAAUAUAUAACAUAUCGUAGCCAAAGUGAUGUUAUGGGUAUGAAGUUAAUUUUUCCUAUUCUUAUGUAUAAGGACUCCAAUUCCCCUUAAAUAAAAACAAAAUACCAUGAAAAUUUCUAGGCAAAGAUAAUAUAGUUAAAUUUGUUAAUAUGUAGUGUUCAUCUUAUCAUAUAAACAUAAUUAUAUAUGUAUCAUUCUUGUUUUCUUUUAACAGAUAAAUAUGUUUUUUACAAAAAGACUAAAAAACAUGUUAUACUGGAAGAAAGUAUUUAGAAUCAUAAAUUAUAUAUUUACUUUAAAACAAGGAUAAAAAAUAAGAUAAUACAAUUAAAAAUCUGUAAAAAUCUAUAAAAAGUCUAAUAAAUAAAUAUAUAUAUAUAUUUACAUGAUCCACAUAAUUUUUAAAAUCUAUCAGCUUUUAUAAUUUAUGAACACUACGUAAAUCAAUCUACCCCCCCCCCCCCCCCNNNNNNNNNNNNNNNNNNNNNNNNNNNNNNNNNNNNNNNNNNNNNNNNNNCCCCCCCCCCCCCCCCAAGUUAAUUGUUUGUCUUUUAGCAUAAUGCAGUUUUUGUUAUCAUUAAAAAAAAAAGAGGAUAGAUAAGGGUCUUUUGGAACUUAUCAGUUAUGCGGAAAGCAAAUGUCAAGCAUGGUUCAAUGCAAAUGAAUCAUUACCCUUAUCAUCACAUGAGGCAUUAUAUUGAGGAGCCAUAAAUUGUAAGCUUAGAUAAUAUAUGUAUGGUAGAUAGUUCAUGGACCUCUACAUCUUAGUUGAGUGGAUGCGGAUGGAUUUGGAUGGAUAGUUUGGGCAAGACUCAAUUCAUGGGAACGCGGAUCUUAUGUCGGCGAAAGGCUGCUUUUCAUACAAAAUCAGAAGCACUGAGAUGAGCUAUGGAGAACAUGAUUCAAUAUUCGUCAUUCCAUAGCUUUGAGACUGAUUGCAAGAAUCUAAAUGCAAUGAUAAAUAAAUCUUAAGCUUGGCCAAGCUUUACAAUAUAAUUGGAGGUGAUACAGACUCUUCAGAUAUGUUUCCCAGAUUUCAGGAUAUCUCACAUCCCAAGAGCACCAAAUCGAAUUGUUGAUUCUUUAGCUAGGUAUGCUCAAUCUUUUCAUAGAGAGUUUAGUUUCAUUGAUUGUUCUAUUCCGUUCUGGUUAUUUAGACCACCUCAAAUUUAAGUAAUAGAAUAACCUUUUUGUUGCAAAAAAAAAAUUAUCAUUAAUGAUCAUAAAUUGGACGCUUACUACCACAUUAUAAAAAUUAAAAAUUAUAAGCUGCAGAUGAUACAAGAAGAGAGAGGCAAUUAUUACAAACUAUAUCACCCAAUUUUUUUUUUAUUGUACCCCAAUUUUUGUAUUUUAUUUAUUAAUAAGAACGAGUUCUUCUAACUGAAGAAGUACCUUGGCACUGCGCUAGAUCGACCCCAUUGUCUUUAAAAAUUCUAUGUCUUCUCUCAUCAAUCCUCUAUUGUUGAAGCUUGUUCUCAGACUCCGGUUGUUCUCUCAGAGCCGAAGUCGGGUUUAAUUGCUUUGAAUCAUCUCUUUUUAGGUUUCAACCGGUUUAGAGCUUCAUGUUUUGUUCUCAUUUCUUCUCUACAGUCGAAUUUCCAAAUCUUAGAUCUUAUCCUAACCGUGGGGAUGAGAGUUUUUCAUGGUGAUCUCUUUGUGUGAUAUUGAUCGUCUAGUUGAAGUGAGUUGGGUUUACUUUUGAUCUCGUCUAGUUGAAGUCAGGGGUGGAGUUUUGAGGAUAUGAUUUCAAUUUUUUUUAAAAAAAAAAAAUUAAAAUUUUCAAAAUAAAAAGAAGUUAUUUUGGUCAUUUUCUUUUUUUGAAGGCUAUUUUUGUGAUAAAAACUUAAAAAUGGCUAUUGAGAGAAUUGUUCAUAAAUAUAUAUUAUAAUGUAAAUUCUAAACAAAAAUAAGGAUUUUUUAUAUUCUGUAAAAUUCAAAUUUCCACUCUUUUUAGCAGUGUUUCAAAAACUGGACUGGAAGCUGAACCGGAAAUUUUUUGGGUCACUUUUCAAUAUGGUUUGACCGGGUCAUACCUGGUUUAAGAAUCUGGUUUAAUAUACUUUUAGUAUAUAAAUUUAAAAGUAAUGUUAAUAAAUAUGAUACAUAAUUAAAAUAUAAAUAACUUUUAAACAUAAAACAUUAAAAAUAUAAACUUUUUUUAUGUUCAUAUGAAUGAUUUGUUGAUUUUUGAUAGUUUUAGUAGUUUAAUAACUUUAAGAUCUAAUCUGGCUACGGAAUCGGUUCAUAAUUGAACCAAUUAUUAGAUCCAAUUCGGUUAUAUACCCAGUUUAUUGUUGAACCCGGUCCACUAUCGGAUCAGUCCGAUUUUAAAAACACUGCUUUUUAGCGAAGGUUUUGGUUUGUGUGAUAUUUGACUGGGUAAUUUCGUGUGAUAUUCGACUAUGGGUGAUAAUAUAUUUCCCAAAACUAGUAUAUUAUAUGGCCUUUUAUGGAUUUAUCAUUUAUGAAAGGAUAAAAUAACAAUAUUUACAUACCAUAUUAAAAAAAAAAAACUGGAAAGUGGAGUAAGAAACUCCUAGACUUCGAUAUUAUCUAUUCUCUUUCUUUCUCCUUCACGCCACUCUCUCCUUAAAAGCCAACCUUUUUCUCCAUCUCUUCUUUCUCUCUGUGUGGUGCUUGCUUUCAUCAAUGGCGACUCUAGAAGACAUAGGAGUCUCAGCUCUGAUAAACCUCUUCGGUGCCUUCUUGUUUCUGAUAGCAUUCGCUGUCCUAAGAAUCCAACCCAUCAACGACAGAGUCUACUUCCCCAAAUGGUAUCUCUCCGGAGACAGACACAGUCCCCGCCGCUCCGACGGAAACCUCGUCGGAAAGUUCGUCAACCUCAACUUCAAAACAUACUUCACUUUCCUCAAUUGGAUGCCUCAAGCCAUGAAAAUGAGUGAAUCCGAGAUCAUUCGUCACGCUGGUUUCGAUUCUGCUGUUUUCCUCAGGAUUUACACUCUCGGGUAACUUCUUCUUCUUCUUCCUCCUCUUCUUCUCGCUAUUGACUUUUUUUCUUUCUUUUUUUAAAUGCAAAAUUCUCAAUCUUGAGAGAGAUGUCAACUUCUCGAGAAAAUGAAAGGAAAAAAAUCGAAACUUUUCAGUUGUAAAGGUUUAUUCUUUUUUGUUUCCACAAAUAAACUUUUCUGGGUAUUUAGGCUCCUUAUGAUAUUCAUGAGUCUAAUCGCUAAAAAGAUAGAUACUGUUGAAUUCUCGAGAAAAAUUGUAACUUUCUGAGAAAAUUUUGGUAUUUAUUGUGUUCUUGUUUGUUUUCCGUGAUUUUGUAAUCUCCAAGAACGAGUUUCACAAAGUGACAUAAUCCCGAAUUUUACGGUUAAAAAUAAUCUUUAAUUCGUCAGAAAAUAUUUGUACUUUAUUCUUACAGAACAUGUUAUUACAAAACACAGCUAAGUUUCGGAUUUGUCCGCUCUGUAUUCCACAAAGACAAAGCAAUAAUGGAAGUUUCGUUUGUUGUCACUGUUUGUUUCCUGAGAAAGUCACUUUUUAGAUAUUCAUUUUUCCGGGAAAGUUAUUGAGAUUAAUUAUGAGAGAAUCUGCAUUAGUUAGUUUUUUUCCUUCUAAAGAUGUUUUUUUUUCUUUUCAUGUUGGUGUUUGGCAGCUUGAAGAUCUUUGUACCAGCCAUGAUACUAGCACUCGCAGUUCUUGUUCCAGUGAAUGUAUCAAGCGGUACACUCUUCUUCUUGAAGAAGGAACUCGUUGUCAGCGACAUUGAUAAGCUCUCCAUUUCUAAUGUCCAGCCUGAAUCCUCCAAGUGAGAGAGCUUAGUUCUGUAUUAAAAAAAAAAAUGAAGCUUUAGUAAUCAUUAUUAACAUCUUUAUGUGUGUGUGUGUCUGUGUUUAGGUUCUUCUUCCACAUUGGAGUAGAGUACCUUUUCACGCUAUGGGCAUGUUUCAUGCUCUACAGAGAGUACAACACUGUUGCACUAAUGCGUCUCCAGUAUCUAGCUUCUCAGCGUAGGCGUCCUGAGCAGUUCACUGUAAGUGAAAGCUUCAGAGUUUUAACACUGAUGAGUGUUUUCUUAAUACAUUUGGAGUUUUUGUUUUUGCAGGUUGUUGUCAGAAACGUCCCUGACAUGCCUGGACACUCAGUUCCGGACACUGUGGAUCAGUUCUUUAAGACGAAUCACCCCGAGCAUUACCUCUGUCAUCAGGUAAAUAUAUGUUUUGUCCUUAUAAAAUUGCUUAUCUUUGUUAUAAUCAGUUCGAUUGAGGGAUGGGAUCUUGUUGUUUCAGGCAGUUUAUAACGCGAACAAGUACGCGAAGCUGGUGAAGCAAAGAGAGAGGCUGCAAGACUGGUAUGACUAUUAUGUGCUCAAGCAUCAACGCAAUCCUCAUAAGAAGAAGCCUACUUGCAGAGUUAGUCUCUCUCUCUCUCUCUCUCCACGCCAUUUCUUUAGUCCUUUUUUUAGAUGUAAUGAUGUUGAUAAGGUUGUUGUCUUCUCCAGACAGGGUUUCUUGGUCUAUGGGGUAAAAAAGUUGACUCCAUCGAGUACUACCAACAACAGAUCAAGGACUUUGACCACACUGUAAGCUACUCCUCUGGUGCAGCUAACACAAACACUUUAACCUCAUUUUAAACACGUGUCUGAUGAUGUUGAUAACAGAUGGCUUUGGAGCGCCAAAAAGUUCUAAAAGACUCAAAACUGAUGCUUCCUGUCGCAUUCGUGUCGUUUGAUUCACGGUGGGGAGCUGCCGUUUGCGCACAGACGCAGCAGAGCAAGAAUCCAACGUUGUGGCUAACGAGCAGCGCUCCAGAGCCUCGUGAUAUCUAUUGGCAAAACCUUUCUAUACCUUUUAUCUCAUUGACCAUCAGAAAGCUCAUAAUCGGUGUGUCAGUCUUUGCAUUGGUCUUCUUCUACAUGAUCCCCAUCGCUUUCGUGCAAUCUCUUGCCAAUUUACAAGGUCUUGAUAGAGUUGCGCCUUUCCUCAGACCUGUCACUAGACUGUAAGUCAAAGCAAUCACAUGCCAAUUUACACAAACUUGAUAGAGUUGAAUGACUCCCAUCUUCUUGUUAUUGCAGGGACUUUGUAAAGUCAUUCUUACAAGGUUUCCUACCUGGUCUUGCUCUGAAGAUUUUCUUGUGGAUCCUCCCGACAGUACUGCUGAUUAUGUCGAAGAUUGAGGGCUACAUUGCUUUAUCUACACUUGAGCGUAGAGCAGCAGCGAAGUACUAUUACUUCAUGUUAGUAAAUGUGUUCUUGGGAAGUAUCAUCGCCGGAACAGCGUUUGAGCAGCUUGACUCUUUCCUUCACCAGUCACCAACUCAGUAAGCAACCUUUAACCUCUUAUAAACUCUCCAAAAGAAUCAUACCUUUAAAAAUGCUUUUGUUUAUUUCUUCAUUGUGUUGUACAGGAUUCCUCGAACCAUUGGGGUCUCUAUACCGAUGAAGGCUACCUUCUUUAUAACGUACAUAAUGGUUGACGGGUGGGCUGGUAUCGCGGGUGAGAUACUCCGGUUAAAGCCACUCGUGAUCUUCCACUUGAAGAACAUGUUUAUUGUGAAGACGGACCGAGAUAGAGAGAGAGCAAUGGACCCUGGUUUUGUCGAUUUCAAGGAGACUCUCCCAUCUCUCCAGCUCUACUUCCUCUUGGGGAUUGUCUACGCCGUUGUCACUCCCAUUCUCCUUCCCUUCAUUUGUGUCUUCUUCGCUUUUGCUUACUUGGUCUAUCGCCAUCAGGUUCGCUUUACAACUCAGUGGCAUCUAAUACUGUUUUUCAAAUUUACUCAAACCAUUUUCAUACCUUAUAUUUGUGAUGAAAAAAAGACUAAACUACCACUAAAUGUGUAAAAAUAAUUUAUUAUCAUUUAUAUAAUGUUAGGGUAUUUUUGAAAAGUGGGUAGCUUAACUUAUAGUAUUUCAAACAAUUUAUCCAUCUUUGUUGAUAUUUAAGUUUUCUUGGUUUUGCAAUGCAGAUAAUCAAUGUGUACAACCAACAAUAUGAGAGCUGUGGAGCGUUCUGGCCGCACGUUCAUGGGAGGAUAAUAGCUAGCUUGUUGAUAUCUCAGCUUCUGCUUAUGGGACUUUUGACUUCUAAAAAGGCAGCAAACUCAACGCCUUUGCUUAUCAUCUUACCCAUUCUCACUCUUUCUUUCCACAAGUACUGCAAACACCGCUUCGAACCCGCCUUCGGAAAGUACCCACUCGAGGUAAACCACCAAUCUUCUCAAGGACACAUCAUAGUCCAAAAGAAAAGUUUCGAGGUUUCUUACUCAAACAUGUGUUUAUCAUUGGUCUUACUGCAGGAUGCAAUGGCAAAAGACAAGCUGGAGAAGGAGACAGAACCGGAGUUGAACAUGAAAGCUGAUCUUGCGGACGCGUACUUACACCCGAUCUUCCUUUCAUUCGACGAAGAAUUAGAUGAAGAAGAUGAGAGGCACCAAAAAGAGACAACGGAGGUUAGAGUGGACAAACAUGAAACACAGUCGUCUAGUCCUGUGACCGAGCUCGGUACUCCUUCUCAUUACCAGCAACAUGAAGUCUACAAUCCCACGUCCCCUUCUUCGCAUUACGCUUCCGCUUAUGAGCAGUCAUCGUCUCAGUAUGAGUACCAUUACGAAACUCAUCGGUAUGAGGAGCAUGGUGGAUACCGUUACAACAACUGACAAACAAAAGGGUGUCUUAUAUGAGGCGUACUUGUAUAAGUAGUCGUUUAAAAUUUAAUUAAAUGGUUUAGGUUUUAUUGGUGGUGCUAGGAGAUUGGUGGUAUUAGUGUUGUUCCAAGAUUGAUUUAUUCGCAUCUUCUUUCAGUUUUUUUUUUGGUAAUUGUAAAACUUGGUUGAUAGUGCAUGUGAUGAAAACUAUGAAUAUUUAUUAGGAAAAUUGGAAAAAUAAGACACUUUAAACUUUUAUUUGUCACACUAGGACUUCUGAUAUUUUGGGCAAUUCUGGACAUAUUUUAUCUUUAUUUUAUUAGAAAAAUAGUAAAUUGAAUUUAAAAAUUAUUAAAAAAUAUGAAAACUAUUGGAAACAUAAGUAUGACAAUAUAUAUGUUUAAAAGUUUUUUUUUUAAAGUGGAAUCAUAUUUUAUUUUAUCUUCUAGAUACAUUUAGAAUACUCAUUAUGGUCAUCUACUUAGUCUAGAAAUCGGAUACUAAGUUUUAUACAUAGAUAUAUCUUGGGUAUACAACGUAAACUAUACUUUCUUAUAUAUCAUAACGCAGCUAUUUUUUGAAACGUUAUAAUUAAGAAAGAUGUCUUCAGUAUACCAACAACUUGAUAACGACAUAUAGCCACAACGCAGUGAUAUACCUUAUCCAUAUUUUGUGCCAUAACAUGUUCUGCUUUUUACCUUAUGUGGCGCUUAAGGAAUAAUAUGUUUCUCAUCUACUCUAUUGUGUUCUGCGUAAGCUAUGAUAUAUAUUCUAGGCAAAUCCAUAAAAUAUGGAAACUUUCAUAUUUGGUUAAAGAUGUUUCCUAAUUCUACACAAAAUCUAAUCUAAUUCUCGAAGUGUAUAUUCUUUCCUAAGUCAUAAAAAUCAUCAAAAUUGUUCUUUCCUCCACUCGAACCCGAGUUAUUCAAGAGAAAAUUAUACACAGAAACCACUAGACCACAUAUGAUUCACACUACUUUGAUAUGUAUACUAACUUACUACUAGCAAGUAUAAUAAAAAAUUUAAAUCUAAUCUUGGAUUGCUCCACGAUAAAUUUCUGAGUUUUGUAUAUAUUGUAUUUUCGUAUAAUAGAAUCAAAAGUGAACGUUUAAAGUUUAAGGCGAAAUCAUAAAGAUAUUUCCGUAAAAUUUAAAAGUUAUGGGGCGAACAUUAAAGAUAUUUUCUGAACCAAAAGUUUUGGGGCGAAAUCGAGGAAUAAUUUUCAAAAUAAAGGUUAUGGGGAAAUAAUAAGAAAGGAAUUAAUCUCAGGGGCCAAGUGUGCAAUAUAUUAAAAUUUAGCCAUGUCUGUUUCGUGGUUUGGAACGUUCGAUGUGCAAUAUCUUCACAUGCCUCUUCAAAAACUUAAAGCCUUUGAUCAACCUGCAAUAGCUUCACAUGCCUCUUCUUAAUCUUCUAAGAACCGCCGAAAACCUGAAUCAGGAAAAACAAAACCAUAAAUACAAAAGAAAUGCAUCAUUAUCCUUUCAAGAAAUAAGAUAUAAACAAAAUACUAACCGAUGCUAGAACAUCUGUGGAGAGGCCAGGUUUUCUCUGAGACACCUCAUUUUUUAUUGCUAUCUUCUGUCUGAACUGACGAACCACCUAGGUGGGAAGACUUGUGCUGGUUCAGCUUUGCUGCCUGAUUCUUCUUGAAUCUUUCACUUCUGCCAAACAUCAAAAACAGAGAAUAACACAUAACCAAACAUCAAGUUAGAGUAGAGAGAAAAUCAAUACAGUACCUUCAAAGAGUCAGCAUGCUAGCACUAGCAUGGAUUACGAGUUUAAAAAAGGAACACAAAGCUGUAACUUAGAAUGUUAGAAAAAGUGAGCACCUUCUUCAUUCGUUCAUCAAUCUCGGUCAUGGCACGAGACUUCUCUACUUUUAGAUAAAAAGUCCUUCUCUCUUUUGACAGCAGAAAUAACCAUAUUCAGUUUCUGUUCAUGUAUAAGAUGAUUAAUCAACCUAAAACUAAUUUAGUUUAAGAAAGAUGACAAAUCAUUUUUACCAAAAUCUAGGGUUAAGAGAAUCAAUACAAGAAAUCACAUACCUAGUGUGAAGAAACAUGAGAUUCAGAUGAAAUUGAAGAAAGAACACUUCAAUUUCGUAAUGAACCAAACCGUCCGACGAAACUGUUUGCGGAAGAACACUUCGAUUUCGUUGUUCCGUGUGUGAGAACGAAGGGGAGGAUGACAAAAACGAAGUUAGAGACGAAAGGUCCGACGAAACAAUGAUUUUCUCCAAGAACACUAAAUCACCAUGGAUGGCGUGAAAUAAAGCUUCGGCGGAGAAGAGGGGGUAAAAAAAUUAGGGUAAAGGGAAGUCAUACCCAUUAACCGUGUUAAUUAUUUUUUCCCUUUUUAAUCUAUACUAUACUAAAAGGGGAUAUAAGCCCCUUUUAGAGUGUCCACGUAGGCACAAAAAAUCGUCCAAUCAGAAAAUUCGAAAUUGUCAAGUCAUCUCAUUUAUUUUUUCGUAAAAAAUAAAAAGAUAAUGCAAAUGAAAGGAUCGAACCCGGGUUAGUAUGACAUAAAUAUAGGGCAGAUACCACUAAACCAUUGAAACUUUCUUGGACACAUAUACAAGAAUCACUAAAUAUGUAAUCACAAACUGUUAUGUACACUUACAAUAAUAUGGAUUCAACUUUCAAGACUCUGAUACUUUGUUUUGUAAAAAAAAAUAAGUAAGUGACUAAGCUAAUAUAUUCUUUGAAAGUGUGAGAACAUUGACAAAUAUGAAAAAGCAUAGAUUUUUGUUUUCGUUACAAAGUUAAGAAUUUUGUAAAAGUAAGUUUAACAUAUAAAUUUUCGUGACAAAUAUGAAAAAGCAUAGAUUUUUGUACAAUUUUGACAAAAAAACUCAAAACAUAGUUUUCUAAUGUCUUAAUAAAAUAUUAUUUAAGGGUGCAAUAAUUAAAUAUAUCAAUUCAAUAAAUUUUGUAAUUUAUAGACAAAACAAUAACACAACAAAUUUUGAAACAUUUGUUUAACCUAUCGAUUUCUUUUCAUGAGAAUCCAACUAAACAAGAUAAAAAACAAUUAGAUUUAUUUAGUUACUAUUUUAUUCAAUUUUGAUUAAUUUCAAAUUGUAAUAAUGUAUCUUUUUGAAGUUACAAAAAAAUAAUGUUCUUUCUUUAUUACACUAGCAUUAUAUAUAGAUUCAUAUACAUAAAUAAAUAUAAUAUAACAACAUAAGCUUGCAUUCCCCGAUUCAUAUGAAAACUUUUUAAGUUAUCCACCAAAGCAAAUUAAUUAAAUCAAUCAAAUUGUUAGAAUACAACAAAAUUAAUAUAUAAUUUUAUUUUAAAUUAAAUUAUUUAAAAAGUGUAUUUUCAUUAAAAACAAAAUAAUAAAUAAGUAAAACUGAUUUGAUGGUAAUUUUUAUGACACAUAUAUAUAUUAUGUGAAAGAAAUUUAAGCUUAAUAAGGAAAAAAAUCUCAAAUACAAAAAAAAAAUCUAAAAUUAACAAAAAAAGUAAUAAAAAUUAAAUUAUGAUAUUAAUUGAAAGCUUCUUAGACAAUAUUAAUAAAAUUAUUUAAGCGAUAACUAGACAAAUUUGAUUUUGUUUGCCAGCCAAAAGUUUAUUAUUAAUUAGCAUCAGUUAUUUCAAGAUGUUUAAGAAAUGAUGGACUUAAAUGAUAUAUGAACUAUGAAUAGUAGUACUUUGUAAAGCUGACUUAGAUAACACAUCUGCACAUCAAUUUUCAGUCCUUUUUGAUGCCUAAAUUCAAUUUCUUCAGAGCAGUUAUUCCACAAAGAGAUUGUAUGAGAUAUUGUUUUGAUAUUCAGAUUUAUUUCUUGACUGUUAAGAUGAUUGAUAACUGUAAAAAUGUCUCCUUCGAAUAUUGUAUGUCUAUAAUCGAAUCCCCAACAUGAGACAACUUUGUUUAAAAAGUAAAUAAUUUCAUUUUUCUUAUAUUAUAUAAUAAAUUUAUAUUAUUUACUGAUAAUACAAAUAUAGUUAUUCAUCUAUAACAAAUAUCUAUGCAAAUAUGUGAAUCAAGUACAACAAUCAAACAACAUAAUGAUUUCCACAAAGAAAAUUUUAAAAAUAUAUCUAUGUUAUGUAGUCUUAUUUUAUAUUCUUUAAAUAAUGUAAGACAAUAUUAUACAUUAUUUUUUAGAAUUGAGAAAUACAUAUAUAUCAGUUAGACAAAUUAAGCGAUAAUUAGACAAAUUUGAUUUUUUUUGCAUGCUAAAAGUUUAUUAUUAAUUAGCAUCAGUUAUUUCAAGAUGCUUAAGAAAGGAUGGACAAAAAAAUAGGAUGGACAUAACGAUAUAUGAACUAUGAAUAGUACUUUGUAAAGCUGACUAGAUAAAAACAUCUGCACAUCCAUUUCCAGUCAUUUUUGAUACCUAAAUUCAAUUUUUUCAGAGCAGUUAUUCCACAAAGAGAUCGUAUGAGAUAUUGUUUUGAUAUUCAGAUUUGUUUCUUGACUGUUAAGAAGAUUGAUAACUGUAAAAAUGUCUCAUUCGAAUAUGAUAUGUCUAUAAUCGAGUCUCCAACAUGAGACAAGUUUGUUUUAAAAGUAAAUAAUUUUAUUUUUCUUAUAUUAUAUAAUAAAUAUAUAUUAUUUACUGAUAAUAAAAAUAUAGUUAUUCAUCUAUCACAAAUAACUAUGCAAAUAUGUGAAUCAAGUACAACAAUCAAACAACAUAAUGAUUUCUACAAAGAAAAUUUAAAAAAUAUAUUUAUGUUAUGUAGUCUUAUUUUAUAUUCUUUAAAUAAUGUUGUACAAUAUUAUACAUUAUUUUUUAGGAUUGAAAAAUACAUAUAAUAUCUUAUCCGCGCGUAGCGCGGUUAAAAAAUCUAGUUAAUCUAAUACUAAAUCAAUUACGAAAAUUAUAAUUUAUUAUUAUUAUUCAUAUUAAUUUGUUAUUCUAAGGGUAUUAUGGUAUUCACAAGAAUUAAAAUCUUAUUUUCCUAAAAAAUCUGCUAAAAAUCAUAUUGAGACAAAUCUAAGUUUAAAGUGUUUCAUUUUUCCAAUUUUCUCUUUAUUAUUUUAGGCCAAAGGUUCGGUUUCUACAGGUAGUUCGGAAUUGGAAUUCGGUUAGUUCAAAACUUUUUACUAAAAUUUUUGAUUUUGCUGAGUUAAUUUUUUUGAAUUGAGUAAACUAGGUGUUCUGCCCGGAUAUGCGGGCAUAGUGUUCUUAUAAAUAUUUAUCUAUUUAUAAUUAUUAAAUCAAAACAAACAUAAUAAAUUAUUAAUUAUGUUUUUAAAAAGAUAAAUCAGACACUAAAAAUUAUAUUUUAUAAUAAAAAUAAAUAUUUUCAGAUAAAAACACAACAUAUUUAAGAAUUGUUUUAUGUUUUAUAAAUAUAUUUUAUUUUUGAUAAUUUUAUUAUAUUUACUUAUAGUCAAUUAUCUUGUAGUUCGAGCUCCAUUGCAAAAAUUUACUUCGCAAAUAAUAGUAUAGACUAGGAUAAGACCCGCGCCUUGCGCGGGAUUAAGUUAUUAUUUUUAUUAUAUUUUGGAGAAUGAAACAAUAGUUUGGCUUCAUUUGGAUUAGGGGUGUUCAAUCCAGAUAUCGGGUUAGUUUCGGUUCGAUUCGGUUUUUUCGGUAUUUCAGUUAGUAAAAUAUAACUACUAUUCUAAACGCAUAUUUACUUUGACUUUAGUCUUUCACAUACUUUUAAAAGAUUUCAACUGAACGACUAAAUUGAUCAGCCAAUCUUGUUGCUUUAAAUCAUUAGUAUUUAUAUAUAUAUAUAUGAUUUAGUUUGAAUAUUUAUUAAAUAAAAAUUCAUAUCCGUUAUAUUUUAUGAUCAUUUGUAACUUAUUAUAACAAAAAAAUAAUCUAUUGAUCACAAAAUUUUCAGAGUGAAAAUAUUCAAAUUUCUAAUAAUAUAUAGACGUUUUGAAAAAUUCAAAAUAUAACAUAUAAGAAAAAUAUAAAUGUUUUUAUUAUAUAUUUAAUGUGAUUUUUAAUAUCUUUCAAUAAUAUAAAAUUAAAAAAAAAAGAACUAAGAUACCAAAAUUGUUAUCAAAUAUUUAUUAUUCAUAAUAAUUAAUUUUCAUAUAUACGCUAAUCAUAUUAGGUAAUUUCGUAGCUUCUAAUUAAGGAAAGUGCAAAAAAAUAUUUGGUAGAUUAUUUAUCAAUUCGAUAGUUAGUUUAAUAAAAAAUAUAAUGUAAGUUAAGAUGAACCAACCUAUUUUUCUAAGAAAAGUUAAUUUAUAUAGCCAUUUAUUAAAUGAGAAUUUAUAAUCAUACAUUUCUAUGAUCAUUCAUAUCAUUUUAUAACUGAAUAUUUAAAUCAUCGAUAACAAAAUUUUCAAUGUGAAAUCUUUAAUAAGUUUAUAAUUUAUAAAUGUUUUUGAAAAUUCAUUGAAAGUUUUAAUAUUAAAAUAUUUAUGUAAUCUUAUGGUAUAUAGUAUAAUCUAUAUAUAUAUAUAUAUAUGUGUUUUAUUAUUAAAUGAUAUUUUUUACUCAUAUGGUUUUAAAAUCAUGUGUAUCUUCUUAUAAUAUUAAAUAAAAGUUCAUAUUAAUACAAUUUUAUGAUCAUUUGUAACUUAUUAUGACAAAAAAAAAUCUAUUGAUCACAAAAUUUUCAGAGUGGAGAUCUUCAAAUUUCUAAUAAUUUAUAGACGUUUUGAAAAAUUCAAAAUAUAACAUAUAAGAAAAAAUAUAAAUGUUUUUAUUAUAUAUUUAAUGUGAUUUUUAUAUAUCUUUUAAUAAUAUAAAAUUAAAAAAAAGAACUAAGAUACAAAAAUUGUUAUCAAAUAUUUAUUAUUCAUAAUAAUUAAUUUUCACAUAUACGUUAAUUAUAUUAGAUAAUUUCGUAGCUUUUAUUUAAGGAAAGUGCAAAACAUUUUUUGGUACGUUAUUUAUCAAUUCGAUAGUUAGUUUAAUAAAAAAUGUAAUAUAAGUUAAGAUGGACCAACCUAUUUUUCUAAGAAUAAUAUAUUUUGUAUAGUUAUUUAUUAAAUAAGAAUUUAUAAUCAUACGGUUCUAUGAUCAUUCAUAUCGUUUUAUAACAAAAUAUUUAAAUCAUCGAUAAAAAAAUUUUCAAUCUGAAAUCUUUAAUAAGUUUAUAAUUUAUAAAUGUUCUUGAAAAUUCAUUGAAAGUUUUAAUAUUAAAAUAUUUAUGUAAUCUUAUGGUAUAUAGUGUUUAAUCUAUAUAUAUAUAUUUAUUUUAUUAUUAAAUGAUAUUUUUUACUCAUAUGGUUUUAAAAUCAUGUGUAUCUUCUUAUAAUAAAAAUGUUAAACCAUUGAUCAUUAAUUUUUAACAUAAUAAUUUUAAUAGUUUUAGUCAUUUAUUGUCGUUUUUAAAAAUUCAAAAUAUAACAUAUACGAAAAAAUCUAAAUUUUAUUUUUAUAGCUAAUUUGAUUGUUUAAUUUAUUUUAAUAAUAUAAAAUUAAACAAAAAAUGAUGGAGGAGAUAUAAAUUGUUAUCAAAUCUUUAUUAUUAAAAUCAUUAAUUGUCAUAUAUAUAUAUUAGUCCUUUCCAGCACAGUGGGAUCCGAAGCUUGGAAUUCACGUGACUNNNNNNNNNNNNNNNNNNNNNNNNNNNNNNNNNNNNNNNNNNNNNNNNNNNNNNNNNNNNNNNNNNNNNNNNNNNNNNNNNNNNNNNNNNNNNNNNNNNNNNNNNNNNNNNNNNNNNNNNNNNNNNNNNNNNNNNNNNNNNNNNNNNNNNNNNNNNNNNNNNNNNNNNNNNNNNNNNNNNNNNNNNNNNNNNNNNNNNNNNNNNNNNNNNNNNNNNNNNNNNNNNNNNNNNNNNNNNNNNNNNNNNNNNNNNNNNNNNNNNNNNNNNNNNNNNNNNNNNNNNNNNNNNNNNNNNNNNNNNNNNNNNNNNNNNNNNNNNNNNNNNNNNNNNNNNNNNNNNNNNNNNNNNNNNNNNNNNNNNNNNNNNNNNNNNNNNNNNNNNNNNNNNNNNNNNNNNNNNNNNNNNNNNNNNNNNNNNNNNNNNNNNNNNNNNNNNNNNNNNNNNNNNNNNNNNNNNNNNNNNNNNNNNNNNNNNNNNNNNNNNNNNNNNNNNNNNNNNNNNNNNNNNNNNNNNNNNNNNNNNNNNNNNNNNNNNNNNNNNNNNNNNNNNNNNNNNNNNNNNNNNNNNNNNNNNNNNNNNNNNNNNNNNNNNNNNNNNNNNNNNNNNNNNNNNNNNNNNNNNNNNNNNNNNNNNNNNNNNNNNNNNNNNNNNNNNNNNNNNNNNNNNNNNNNNNNNNNNNNNNNNNNNNNNNNNNNNNNNNNNNNNNNNNNNNNNNNNNNNNNNNNNNNNNNNNNNNNNNNNNNNNNNNNNNNNNNNNNNNNNNNNNNNNNNNNNNNNNNNNNNNNNNNNNNNNNNNNNNNNNNNNNNNNNNNNNNNNNNNNNNNNNNNNNNNNNNNNNNNNNNNNNNNNNNNNNNNNNNNNNNNNNNNNNNNNNNNNNNNNNNNNNNNNNNNNNNNNNNNNNNNNNNNNNNNNNNNNNNNNNNNNNNNNNNNNNNNNNNNNNNNNNNNNNNNNNNNNNNNNNNNNNNNNNNNNNNNNNNNNNNNNNNNNNNNNNNNNNNNNNNNNNNNNNNNNNNNNNNNNNNNNNNNNNNNNNNNNNNNNNNNNNNNNNNNNNNNNNNNNNNNNNNNNNNNNNNNNNNNNNNNNNNNNNNNNNNNNNNNNNNNNNNNNNNNNNNNNNNNNNNNNNNNNNNNNNNNNNNNNNNNNNNNNNNNNNNNNNNNNNNNNNNNNNNNNNNNNNNNNNNNNNNNNNNNNNNNNNNNNNNNNNNNNNNNNNNNNNNNNNNNNNNNNNNNNNNNNNNNNNNNNNNNNNNNNNNNNNNNNNNNNNNNNNNNNNNNNNNNNNNNNNNNNNNNNNNNNNNNNNNNNNNNNNNNNNNNNNNNNNNNNNNNNNNNNNNNNNNNNNNNNNNNNNNNNNNNNNNNNNNNNNNNNNNNNNNNNNNNNNNNNNNNNNNNNNNNNNNNNNNNNNNNNNNNNNNNNNNNNNNNNNNNNNNNNNNNNNNNNNNNNNNNNNNNNNNNNNNNNNNNNNNNNNNNNNNNNNNNNNNNNNNNNNNNNNNNNNNNNNNNNNNNNNNNNNNNNNNNNNNNNNNNNNNNNNNNNNNNNNNNNNNNNNNNNCGGAUCCCACUGUGCUGGAAAGGAGUUUUAUAAUGCCAAUUUUUGGAUUAAUAAGACAUAAAAUAAUAAGUAUUCGUAAUAUGAUUAUGCCCGCUUGUGCGGGCAAAACACCUAGUCAGUUGUAUAAAAACGUGUUCCAAUCAACAUAAUCUAUAAAUUCGUUAGUGAUAGUCAAGAUUAAUAUUAUUCACAACCUAUUACCAUAAAGAUUUUAAAAAUAGGAAAUAAAACCAUAGCUGCGAUCAUAACAAUUUGAUAACUUGUUAAGCAAAAAAAGAAAAAAAUUGAUUGAAACUCAUCCAUCUAUCUGUGUGUGUAUAUAAUGCACAUAGCUGACAUUCUUGUGGACCACUUCCUUCUUUCUCUAUCUCCAUUUAUGUAUGAACGAACAGCCUUUGUUUUUUAAUGGUCUCUUUUAGUUACGAUGAUGCAUCAUUUUCCCUAACUGGUAGAACUAAUCACUUUCAAACUAUCAAAUCAAAGUCUUGCUGGAACAUUUAAGAUUAGAGAAUGAAAGAGGAACAGCUUGAAAGAAAGCAAGAGAAGACAUUAAGGAAAUAUGAGCAAAGAAACAGAGAGAUAGUUAAAUGCCAUUAAUGUACAUAGAGAUGGCAAAGAAGAAGGAACAAGGCUUUGUCAUAGUUUAAUGACACUCACUCUCCAACUUGUCCCCUUCCGGUUUUAGCAUUUUCAUAUAUAUUUUUGUAUAAAACCAAAUCAUAUCUUUUGUUUUAUCCUCUAAACCAACUCAUAUCUUCACUGGAAAAGAUGUAGCAUCUGUCAGGAACUCAAUAAUUCUAAAUGUAAAAUCUGAAAAGAUAGGAUACACUGCUCAUUUACAAGAUUACAACACAAAAGUAGAAAGAAUUAAAAUAAAUAAUAUAUGAUAACUGAGAAGCAGAGUGUUUUAAGCCCAUUACUUCACAGGCUGUAGAUAUAUAUGAGUGACUUUGGUUUUAAAUUCUCUCUGAGAAAAUAGACAAUACAGAGAAAGCUUCCAAAUCUCAUAGCAUCCCAUGUGGGGGAUACUAUCUCCUUUCUCUUUCAUCUUUAUAAUCAAAUACUAAUCAAUCUCUCUUUUCUCUGAACUGUUUGUUUCAUAUUACUCUUCUCCUCUCUCUGUAGUAUCUUCUCUUGCUUCCAUCACAGAGUUUGUGAAUGAUGUGGGAAUCUGAGAGCGAUUCUGGGGUUGUAGGAGGAGGAGGAAGAGAGUAUGGUAAUGAAGUUUUGAGUUCUAACAAACAUGGCAGCGUCAGGACUGAUGGGUUUGAGCUUAGAGGCCAAUCUUGGUAACAUACUCAACCUUUAAAACACUAUAAACUCUCCUAAACAGUAUCUUUCCUUGUAAAGGAUGUUAGGAUUCAUUAAUAAAACCUUUGUUUUGGUUAGGUGUGUUGCUACAGACAUCUCCAGUGAUCUUCUGGUUAAAAUCUGCGACAUGAACUUUCACCUACACAAGGUAAUCAAGUUCUUGACUCAAUAUUAUUAGUCAAUAUUAUUAUUUUAAAAAAUAUUAUUACAUUUAACAUGUUUUUUAACAUGUUUUUGUUUAUUUUUCUUCAGUAUCCUUUGCUGUCACGUAGCGGGAAGAUGAACAGAUUGAUCUACGAGUCACCACGAGAACCUGACCCGACCAUACUCAUUCUCGAUGACUUACCUGGAGGACCAGAAGCGUUUGAGCUAGCAUCAAAAUUCUGCUACGGAGUUCCCGUGGAUCUCACGGCAACUAACAUAUCAGGUCUACGUUGCGCAGCUGAGUAUCUCGAGAUGACAGAGGAUCUUGAAGAAGGGAAUCUAAUCUUUAAGACGGAAGCUUUUCUCAGCUAUGUGGUUUUGUCUUCAUGGAGAGACUCAAUCUUGGUUCUAAAGAGCUGUGAGAAGCUCUCACCAUGGGCUGAGAAUCUUCAGAUUGUGAGAAGGUGUAGUGAAUCUAUUGCAUGGAAGGCUUGUAGUAAUCCUAAAGGGAUUAGAUGGGCUUACACAGGGAAGUCACCAUCUCUAUCUUCAUCUCCAAAGACCACUAAUAACUUCGCGAGUUCUAGUCCUAAAUGGAACGAGACAAAGGAUUCAAGUUUAUAUUGCAGCCCGAGUAGGAACAAUAAUAACAACCAGACUGUUCCUCCGGACUGGUGGUUUGAAGAUGUCUCUAUCUUGAGGAUAGAUCACUUCGUUCGUGUAAUAACUGCAAUCAAGGUACAUAGAUGCUUCUCUUUCGAGCAUUUUCACAAACACUUUGGUGUACAUACAUCUCAAUCCUCCAGCUAGCCAUUCGGGUUUACAGUUCGAGUCGGUUAUUCAGAUUUCAGGUUGGUCUAGGUUUUAGGUUAUUCGGGAUUGGAGUGUUUAAGACUUGUUUAGGAAACAUAUAUAUUUCGGAUCAGAUCAGUUCGGAUAAUAUUGGGUUCGGAUAGAGUUUCUACAUACUUUUAAUAAAACCCAAAACUUAAUUGAAUUAGAAAUGAUUUGGGUUUGGUUCCGGUUUAAAUCCGAAAACCUGAGUUAACCCGGAAAAAUCGAAAAAAUAUUCGUGUAAUUCAGGUUCUGGAUAAUUUUUUAUUUAUAAUUAAUAUUUUUUCAAAUAUUAAUUCUAAAAUUGAAAAUAAUGUAUAUUUUAAAUUACAAUUUAGAUAUUCGGUAUCCACGGUUCAAUUCCGAUUUUACUUCUUCAGCUUUCCAGAUUUAGAGAAAUAGGAAUCAUUCAAUUUUGUAAAUUUCAAAUCUGAAUUCAGUUUCGGUUUUUCCUGUUCGGUUUUUGGGUUUCUGAAAAUAUGUCCAAGACUACCCUCCAACUCUAACGCUUGAAACAGGUGAAAGGUAUGAGAUUUGAACUUCUCGGAGCUGCAAUAAUGCAUUACGCCCGAAAAUGGCUUCCGGGUGUGUUCAAAGAAGGAGCUCCAGCACCAUCCACCAUCGGAGGAGGAGGAGACGAAAUGAGCGUGAGCUGCGGAAGCAACAGCAGCGGAGGAAGCUCCGGUCACGACAACUGGAAAGGCGGUCUCCACAUGGUCCUCUCUGGAAAACCUAACGCCCAUCAAGACUCCACCGCUUUCCUUGCUGGACACGUUACCAGCCCUAAAGAGCAGCGAAUGAUCGUCGAGUCCCUAAUCAGUAUCAUCCCUCCGCAGAAAGACUCCGUCACUUGCAGCUUCCUCCUCCGUAUUCUCAGAGCAGCCAGCAUCCUUAAAGUAGCUCCGGCGCUGACCACGGAGAUGGAGAAGCGCGUGGGGAUGCAGCUCGAGCAAGCGACUCUUCAGGAUCUUCUGAUCAAAGGGGAGACGAUGUACGAUGUCGAUCUUGUUCAGAGAUUGUUGGAGCAUUUUCUAGUUCAGGAGCAGACGGAAGGGUCGAGCCCGAGUAGAAUGUCGCCGUACGCAGAUGCCGGAGUUCCGAGAGCGAACAGCAUCAGUGGUAAUAAUAGUCAGAAUGCGAAGAUGAGAGUGGCGAGGCUUGUGGAUAGUUAUCUCACUGAAGUUGCUAGAGACAGGAACUUGCCGUUGACUAAGUUUCAGGUUUUGGCUGAGGCGUUGCCGGAAUCUGCGAGGACUUGUGAUGAUGGGCUAUACAGAGCAAUUGAUUCAUAUCUCAAGGUACCGUACAUAACAAGCCUGCUGUUUUUGGUUUAUUGGGUUAAAUCUGUUAGGGUAAUUCAUUUUUUGGUAAGUCUAAAUCUCACUGAAGUAAACCAAUUUUUUUUGGUUCGGUUAUUAUUUUGGUUUUUUUUAAAAAAUAAAAUUCUGCCGAAUUUAAGUAUGACAUUUUUUUUUUGUUUCAGUUAAAUUUUAGUUUAAAUUUGUUUAAACUCGAAAAAUCUCGAUUGAACUCCAAUUAGGUUUAAUUUUUGGUUAGUUUGGUUUGGGAUUUGGAACCAUGGUGAUAAUCAGUUUUCUUUUGUGUCUCUAUUAAAUUUAAAUUUCAGUUUAAAUUUGUUAAAAAUUCAGAAAAUCUUGGUUAAAUUUCAGUUAGGCUCGGUUAGCUUGAUUCUGUUUUUUUGGCUAGUUCGGUUCGGGAUUUGGAACCAAACCAACCUAAUAUCGAACUUAACCGAACCAUAAACCGGUUUUUAAAAAAUCUUGCCACUUUGAACCGAAUUCCCAGGGCUACGUAUACAGUAUAUACAUAUAGAGCUGAAGUUUUGUAGCUUGUUAUUACAUUCUUCAUUGAUAGUUUGAUCAUGUUUGGUUUGGUCAGGCGCAUCCGACAUUGUCCGAACACGAGAGAAAACGACUUUGCAGAGUGAUGGACUGUCAAAAGCUAUCAAUGGAUGCGUGCAUGCACGCCGCUCAGAACGAGAGGUUGCCAUUGCGAGUGGUGGUUCAAGUCCUCUUCUCGGAGCAAGUCAAGAUCAGUAACGCCUUAGCCAACACGUCACUGAAAGAGUCAACUACGUUAGGUGAAGCCAUGGGUACUACUUAUCAACCAAUGAUCCCAAAUCGUAAGACAUUGAUCGAAGCAACACCACAAUCUUUUCAGGCAAGUAAAAAGAAGACUCAUACACCACAUUCUUCUACCUUUUUUUGCUUAUGCAAGUUUGUGUCGUUUUGAGGAACAGGAAGGGUGGGCUGCGGCUAAGAAGGAUAUUAACACGUUGAAGUUCGAGAUAGAGACGGUGAAGACGAAGUACGUUGAGCUUCAGAAUGAGAUGGAAGCGAUGCAAAGACAGUUUGAGAAGACAGGAAAAGUGAAGACCAGUACUUCGUCUUCUUCGGCUUGGAGUAGCGGUUGGAAGAAGCUAAGUAAGUUCACUAAGAUGACUGUACCGGAGAGUCCAGAUGUUGCUAGAGGAGAACAAGCUGGUGGUGUUAAUCAUCAACCAGCUAGGAAACCAAGACGAUGGAGGAACUCAAUUUCUUGAGACAACUUUUAUGUGUUCUUGAUUUGAUUCUUUGAGCGAAAGAAAAGCUUUUGUUUGCUUCUAAUUUGUAAUGCUAUGUCCUUAAUGAUAUAUCAUCACAAAACCCAAUCAUCUUGACAAUACAUGAACAACGAACAUGCAUUAUUACAGACACUAAGACUAAUCUGGUGCAGAGGAUACGGACCCUAAGCCACUUCACACGUGAGGAUCUUCAAGCCUUAUCUGUCUGUAGAUAUCUUGUUCUCCAUGUUGUCUCUUUACGAACAAAAUGUGGUGACUUGUGAGUUGUGACUGGUGGAGGUUUUUGUUUAGCAGCAGCUCUUAAUCUCUGUAGAUAUCAAGUCUCGUUUAUAAAAACGGUUACAUUACUAUAACAAGCCGUCUUAGCUCAGUGGUAGAGCGCGUGACUUUUAAUCCCGUGGUCGUGGGUUCGAUCCCCACAGACGGCGGGCGUUCCAUACAUAAAUUUUGCUGUAGCUUUCUUUUUCUUUACCAACGACCCAACAGUAAAGAUCUCAUAAUAACAGCAAGAAAACAAACAUACAUUCGGAUUGAAACAAGAGACGGGUCUACUAUUUAUGAUAAAAAUGUUGUGGAUGGAGAUUUAGAAUAACAUUGAGAAGUGUGACAAUCACAAAGUUUUGUUUCCCAGAAGCAAUGAAGACAAAAGGCUAGAAGCUUAAUAACUUAGCAUUCAAGUUUUGCUGUGCUUUUUUUUAUAGAUCAAUAACAUUCCAACUGUUUUUUUUUUUUGAGCUAGAGAGAUCAUCAUCAUCACUUCACGCUGAGUACUUCGAUUUCAAAGUCAAGAACCGAGUUAGGUUGGAUUCCCCAUGCUGGAAAUCCACCAGCACCAUACGCGUAAUCCGGUGAGCACUGACAGAAACAGAGAAGCAUGGAAAACUAAAUAUGUUAAUAAACCCACACACGAAUGUUUUCUCUACCCAUAACAAGCUCUAGAUAGCUCUCAAUAGAGACAAGAAGAAUAUGGUUUCAAAGAGAGACAAGAAAACUUUAAAAGGAAAACGAAAGAUGUAAAGAAUCAAAUCUGUUUUGCAUGAUGAGAGGACGAGGAGCAGAGUCUAACGUACCCGCAAGCGAGCAACCUCUCCAAUUUGCAUCCCCAUAACGCCUUCAUCCCAUCCUGUAAUCAAAAACAUUUCAAAAACAAAUAUCAACUCCAAGACAUACAAAAACAUAUGAUAUCAUGAAACCAUGCAAGAAACAGAUGGUUCUUGCCCAGCGUCCUUUGUACUAUAUACCAAAACACACACAUUAAGACAAAUUAUAUCCAUUUAUAAGUGAUAUAUUGUGUGUAAGAGAAGAUUUAAAUAACGAGAGGAUCCUUUUUUACCUCCAGAACUGCUGGGAUAGAUCACCACCUUUCCCUGAAAAAAAAAAAAAGCAUUAGGAAUAACGUUUCUGAAACAAACUCACAAAGGAUCAUUAAAGCGUAUAUAUAUAUAGAGAGAGUGUUUCAAUCUCACACAAGAAGCUGAUAUUAAUUAUUAGUCACCGGGCUUCUCCACUAGAUACUUACAACGACUACAGUGAGUUAAACACUAGAUUUGUUCCUAAGAACUUUCAGAUGAGUAAGUAAAUAAUCUCCCACUUUAAUUAAUUUAAAAAAUCACAGAUUAAUUAUGAUCAAUAUCAGAUUUGUGUAGAUCGAUUACAAAACCGCUGUGUGGAAAUUUUAAACCAUAAGAAGAUGUAGGUUACCGAAUCCGGUACAGUGGACGGUGACUGUUUGACCCGGAGUGGGUUUGGGUCCGGUGCCGGGUCUGAUGACUUGCUUCUCCACUCCCAUCGCUAUCUCUCUCUCUAGCUCUGUCGCGGCACCCUGUCGCGGCUACAGAUGCUUAUGCCUUUUUACUCUUUUCUUAUUUGUAAUGUUUUGGGCCUUAUAAUACUUUAAAGCCCAUUUUGAUAAACAUUUCGGCCCAUUAUUUAUCUUUUCAAACAUGGUUAAAUAAAAACAAUCAAAUCGGACUUGAAAGUUAACUGCACUAAUCAGAGAUUCAGAAUUAAGCACCACACCACUAGCUAUGCUCUAUCAGGAUGUACCUAGCUUUCUUCUCAGACCAUUCCGGUUUAAGCAAAAUGCCCUUUAAGACCAAACUAUAAAAAACAUGGCAUCUCCCAUUAAAUUUUUUUUUCUAAUUAUAUAUUAACAAUUAAGUUCAUAAUUCAACUGGUAACCUCGAAAAUGAAGUGGCCAUUUGGCUCAUCAGCACAUGGUGUCGAAUUAAAAACUAAUAAUAAUUGUAUUAUGAGCACAUGUUGGAAUCCAUUAAAUUUAAGAUUUAAGUAGCCAAACUACCAAGAAAUGAGUUGGCAAAUGAUUCCUUUCCGAACAAAUAAAUAAACCAAUUCUCUAAACCGAUCAUUGUUCUCAUCAAAGCCAUCACCAUCUUGGUUCCGUGAUCGAAACUUGGAAGACUAAGAAAAACUCUUGUACAAAAUGGAGAAGAACAUCUCAGAAAACGGAGAAGCGGUUGCCAACGGAUCUAUUUGUGGAUAUGAUUCUCUGCAUCAACUCUUAUCCGAGAAUCUGAAGCCUGAGCUUUAUCAGGUGAAACUUGUUAGCGAUUUGGAUAAUUGGUUUUAUGUUUGUAGUCUCGUGAAGUUUUUCGCUCCUUACGUUGACUUUUUGAUAUGUUCUUCUUACUAAGAACAUAGUUCUUGAUUAGCCACUAAUAGUUAGGAUGUUUUCUUGAUUUGUAAUGAUUUGAAGUGCUUAGUUACUUUCCUCUUAACUCAGAUUGUAAGAAAAAAACUAAACUAAAUUGGAUCGUUGGUUGUCUGAAUUGCUGCAGGAGGUAAGCCGAAUACUACUUGGAAGUAACUGUGGUAGACCACUUGAACAUAUUGUGUUACCAGACUCUGCAAAAUCCCUCUCUUCAAAACAUGGUUUUGAUCUCCAGGUUAAUACUCAUUUUGAGUUAUACUAAUAGGUUCAAAUAAAUUUGAGUGGAAACAGUGUUUUGAUUUGAUCUUUGGACACAAAUUACUUUCUAGGCUGUUAGCUUCUCAGCUGAUGAAGAGCAAAUGAGAAAGCCACGAGUGGUCAGAGUUGGUCUCAUUCAAAACUCUAUUGCUCUUCCAACUACUGCUCCAUUCUUGGACCAAACAAGAGGAAUACACAACAAGUUGAAGCCGAUCAUCGAAGCAGCAGGUGUUGCUGGUGUUAACAUACUCUGCUUACAGGUUUGCCUCCAUUUUGCUUUCUUCUACGACAGGCUUUGUAGAUUAACUUUGAGAUGGCCCUGCUUAUAGGAAGCUUGGACUAUGCCGUUUGCGUUCUGUACAAGAGAGAAGAAAUGGUGUGAGUUUGCAGAGCCUGUUGAUGGCGAAUCAACAAAGUUUCUUCAAGAACUAGCCAAGAAUUAUAACAUGGUGAUUGUGAAUCCUAUCCUCGAAAGAGAUAUGGAUCACGGUGAAGUACUUUGGAACACAGCUGUGAUUAUAGGGAACAAUGGAAACAUCAUUGGCAAACAUAGGAAGGUUAACUUGCACUACAAGUCUCUUUUUGCUUCUGUCUUUUCUCUUGUGAGCUAACUUGUACUUCUUGGUUUGCUAGAACCACAUACCGAGGGUGGGAGAUUUUAACGAGAGCACGUAUUACAUGGAAGGAGACACUGGACAUCCUGUGUUUGAGACGGUGUUUGGGAAAAUUGCAGUCAAUAUAUGUUAUGGAAGACACCAUCCUCUAAACUGGUUAGCUUUUGGUCUAAAUGGUGCUGAGAUUGUCUUCAACCCUUCAGCUACUGUUGGUGAACUCAGUGAACCAAUGUGGCCUAUUGAG
rnacentral:lncRNA from 1 species